rnacentral:lncRNA from 1 species
AAUUUGGAAGUUUAUAUCUACAGAUAAACUUUUUCAAAAAAUUCCCCGCUUUAAAUUCUUUACGUAGGGAUCAACAAACUCAACGGGCAAAUACUAAGGGGGGAUUGGAAAUUUGUUAAUCUACUAUGCUUAAGAAGCUGUAUCUAGAUGAUAGCUAAUUUGACAGGUAUAUAUGUUAGUUUUCAACGAGUUGUAAUCCUGAAUUUGGUGCAACUUUUGGAGUAUUUUUAAAUGCGAUUGGUUUUUGUUCAUGGAUCCACAGGUCCCAUUCCAAACGAGAUUGGCAACUUGCUCAAAUUGGAGAUCCUUGACUUGGGAUGGAAUAGCUUAAGUGGUUCGAUACCAGUUUGGAUCUUCAACAUGUCAACUCUGAGGAUGCUCGACCUUUUUGGCAAUCAUUUAUCAGGCGUUCUUCCAUCAAAUAUGUGCCAUGGCCUGCACAAUUUGGAAGAUAUUCAUCUUGGUAGGAAUAACUUCAGCGGAGCCAUACCCGCCUCUAUUUCAAACUGUUCGAAACUAAUUGAAAUAUAUCUUUUUGAUAACAAAUUCAGCGGUCCAAUUCCCAAUUCCAUUGGAAAUUUGAGAUGCCUCGAAGUUCUCUCUCUGAUUGCUAACAAUUUGACGAGUGAAUCUUUAUCUCCCGAAUUGGGCCUCUUCACUUCCCUCACAGGUUGCAUCUCUUUAAGGAAAAUCUGGGUGGCAGACAAUCCGUUAAAUGGGGUUCUUCCGAGAUCCAUCGGGAAUCUUUCUAUUUCUGUUGAACUGUUGGAUGUAGGGAACAGUGGACUCAGGGGGAACAUUCCAGACAGCAUUGGAAACUUGAGCAAUUUAAUUUUUUUGGGUCUAGGUGACAAUAGCUGGACUGGAUCAGUUCCGACUGCGAUAUGGGGUUUGCAAAAGCUUCGGUAUUUGGAUCUUAUCAAUAUUUCCCUCACUGGUCCGCUCUCUCGUGGUCUCUGUGGAUUGCAGAGUUUGGAGGAUUUAGGCCUAAGUCAAAAUCAGAUUAGCGGGUCAAUUCCAGGAUGUUUCAAUAACCUUACAUCUUUGAGGUAUCUUGACAUAGCUUUCAAUAGAUUAACCUCUACUCUGCCCUUGUGGGAUCUUAAAGGUCUCAAGUGGGUCAACUUGUCGUCGAAUUUAUUGAGAGGACCCUUGGCUCCAGAGAUGGGAGAAUUAAAGAAUUUGACAAGGUUAGACUUGUCAAACAACCAGUUUUCAGGCAAAAUCCCCAGCACCAUUUGGAGUUUAGAGAGUUUGGACCGCCUUUCUUUAGCAAACAACAGCUUGCAAGGAUCAAUUCCGAACAACUUUUGAAUUGGUACCUUUGAAUUUGGGCCUAGAAAACUGGCCCAUUACAGAGUAACUUCUCUUGUUGGAUCCCCAAUAUACUUAAAUGUUCACUUUUAAGGGAUUAAGCGGUGACUUAUGUAUUCUUGCUCUGUAUUAAAUUAAGGCUUGUGUAGACUUUCUUGGUUCCAAUAUGCACCAUACCUGGCUUUUCCAAACAAUAAAAUCAAGCACAAUAAAGGUGCGUAUGCAUAUAUUUAUUGUGCCAGAACUAUUCUGAUUUUUUUUUUUUAUAAAAAAUUCAAUUAGGAAGUGAAAGUUUCUCCUAACUAACAAAAGAUAUAAAGAAAAUAAAUGUUUAUGGUUACAAUGUUAGCCCAUGGAAAAAAAAAUUAGAGUUGUCUAGUUCAUUUAAAGUGAUGGUAAUCUUUUUUAAUUUUUUUGUGAAUUCAAAAAAAUGUGGCCUCUUGGAAGGCACAUUUUCUUUUACAGGUGAAAAUUUUGGAAUUUUUUCUUUAAAAAAUGCAGUACACUUUUUCUUUGUCAGUACCAUCACUCUCACAUCAAAUUUGGAAAACUACAGUCGAAAGGCUUUUGGUAUCAUAAUUGAAGACUAAAGGUUAGUUUUGUUAUUUUCUUGUUGCUUUGGUGAAAAUAAUAUAGAAGACGUGUCUGGUGAAACAGAUAUUUGCAGCAAAUGAUUCACUUGUUCUUCCCGCUUGAAGCUCGUUAGUAAGUUUUGAUAUAAUUAAGCUAAUUAGUAGAUUUUGAUAUAAUUAAGCGAUUACUUGAGGAAUAAAAUUAUAAUGCUAUGGAAACACAGAGUGGACAACUAGCGAAGCCAAUAAUGAGUUUCUAAUUCUAUAACCGCCAUAAUCGUCAAUUCUUUCCUUUGACUUAUUUAUUUAUUUUUUUGAUAAGGUCCUUUGACUUAUUUUUUAACCUUCCUUUUUGUUUUUUGUAUCGUUCUUCGUAUUUCACAGUCUUGGUAAUUUGUUUAUUUAUUUCCUUAAAUGAAUCUGGCCCAAUUUUGACCAAUUUAUUUGUUGGCAUAUUGGUGGUUGAUGGUGGAGAAGCUUAUGUCUUAGGCCCAAAAGUAGUCUAGUUACUGGAUUGAGGCUAGAUUUCAGCUCAAAAAAAGACCUAGGCCCACAAAUAAUUAGAUUGCCUGGUCGCAGUAUGCAAAUACAGUCCAGGCCCAUCAUUUCUAUAAAUACAGCAUUAUGUGCAUUAGUAUUAUUUUGUGCAAAUGAACAUUAAAAAAAAAUGAAUGAAAAACAUCAAACUUAUAACAAGUAUUGUCCUCAUAGCAAAAUACCAAGUUAUAGGUAGGGGUAGUAAUCAAGUAAUCGUAAGGUCAUUGGUUUCACUCUCAAAAUACAGUCCAGGCCCUUUUUUUUUUGGUUGUUUUUUUUUGGUUGCAUUAGAUAAUUUUUAAGAAUUUUUAUAUUUAUAUAUAUCAUUGGCAUUCCUUGUCUUUAAGUUCGUUAUAUAUAUAUAUAUAUAUAUAUAUAUAUAUAUAAGUGAAGUCAUAUAUAUUGUACUUGGUAAGAAAGAAACUACUAUUUAACUUGGCUUUGUCUCUUGGAUAUCAAACCAUGGCCCUGUUUGGCAAGUGAGUUUUUUUGGUAUUUGUCUAAAACUUUACUAUAGUUUACUGUAGAAGUUUUUUAAAAAUUUUUGAAAUGUAUAAAUUUUUUAAUAUUUUGAAGUGAUGAUGUGGUUUAAAUACCAAGCGAAUUAGAAAUUUAAUCUAUGCUUAAGAAGUUGCAUCUAGAUGAUAAGCUAAUUUGAUAGGUAUGCUAAUUUUCAAUGAGUUGUAGUCCUGAAUGUGGUGUAAUUUUUGGAGUAUAUUUAAAUGAGAUUGGCUAGCUAGCACAUUAUUAAUUUUUUUUAGAAUUCUUGUAAUUUAAAAACUAUUACAAUUAAGGAAUCAUAACCAAAUGAAAAGGCAAAGAAGUGAAUUAGAAAUUACAAAAUUGUAAUAGUUUUUAAAUUAGUUUGCACUUUUAAUUCUAAACAAAAUCUCUCAAAAUUUAACAAUCUCUUUUUCUGUUGGUUACAAAAUCUCUUGGUUACAAAAUUGUAAUAGUUUUUAAAUUAAUGAAUUAUAUCAACCAAUUGGUGAGAAGUUUCUAAAUUUCAGCCUUUUUCUAGUUCUAUAAAUUGAAUAUAUAUACUCUACCCCAUGGAAACUUAUUAUUCAUGGCAGAUAACAUGCUUUUGGGACCUAUGUGAUGGAAAUACAUAACAUGUCCAAGUUACGAGAAAUUGGCUCUAGUAAUAACAGCCUGUCUAGAUCUCUCCUGGAAAGUAUAUGCGGCUGGUUUCUUGAACUUGAAAGUCUAUAUCUGCACAGAAAUAAUUUGGAAGGCCAAAUACCAGAAAACAAUUUGACAAGUAAAUCUUCAUAUCCAGAUUUGAGCCUCUUCAUUUCCUUGGCCGGUUGCAUCUCUCCAAGGAAAACCUCAGUGUCAGGAAAUCCGUUGAAUGGGGUUCUGUUGAAAAGUUUUAUGCAGAAAUCUCAAAGAUCUCUUGGGAAUUGAUUUGUCGUCAAAUUUCUUGAGAGGAUCUUUGCCACUAGUGUUGGGAUAACUGUUUCCAUUCUUGCUUUUCAUCUUUCAUUUGUUUAGACCUUAUUUAUUUCUCUAACACUUCUGCUCACGUUUGAUUUUUUCUAAUCGAAUCUUUUUCUUGUUUUCUAACAUUUUUCUUCCUGACUUCAUUUCCAUUACAGAAACAUACACUUACCCUCCAUUUUAUUUGGCUUUUCAUCUUGUAAGAAAAUUUGUAUCACACAGUUAUUAAUUGCAUGAUCAAUCCCAUCGAAGGGGGCAUGUGGAGCACUAAAGUACUUGAAUAUGCGAAUACCUCCAGGACCAAGGUGUCCAUUACUCCACGUGAAUUUCAGCCCGGAAAACCCCAGAUCAAAUUGUUGGCUUUCUGCAAGAAUGUCAUGAAAUUUGACCCUCCCACUAGUCAUGCCAUCACGCAGACCCGCCAAAUGCUUAGAAGGAGACGGCGUACGUACCAUUUUGCUCCGCAUAAAAUGAAAUACACGCGGUCUUUUGAAAAGUCAAACGAGCCAAAUUUUCCCGUAGUUUAAAUCAUCGUUAAAAUUGAAUAUUAAAUCUCUCUCAUAUCAAAACAAAAAUAAUUUUUUUUCGUUUGCGAAGGCAAUUACACCUAUUCCUUGAGCAUUAUUAUGAAAAAAAAAAAACAACUAUUCUUACUCUAUGGAGGGAAGGGGUUUUAAAAAAACUUGUAUGAGAAUUAAAAAGUGAAUCACGAAAUUAAAUAAAUGCACUACUAUACUUUUUGGAUAUUUUAAAAACAAAAAAUACUGUACUUUUUAUGUGAUGCAUUAAACGGAAUUUGAAUCUUUGAUCCAGUGCACAAAAGAGUAUUAAGUUGCCCCGUGUUUUUAGUUUUCCACAAGCAUGGAAUGGAGGACCAGCGGAAGGAAGGUACUGAUGUUCCUACAGUAGGAACGCGCGAAAAACGUUGCAGCAAGAUGUUUGAAAGAAGUAAAUAUGGAAAGUCAAAAAAGACAAACAAAGUUUUGUGGCUAUGGAACUCUGAAUUAUUUUAGUUAACAAAAAUGGCACGUACGAGGGAAGUGUCACAAUGUUCGUGGCCGACAUUGAACACUUCCAUGAAAAAUGUGGCGUACUUUACGGGAAGUGCCAUCAUUUUUUUUUUUAUGGGAACGAUAGAUGUCAUUUUAUAAAAAAAAAACUAACUUUACAAUAUCUGAGCAAUGGCCCAAGCAACUAUACUAAGUGUACCAAGACAUUUAAGGAGAGCCAAAAAAUCUCUCCUCAUCCCUAAAUAUGCUUAAAGCAUAAUGGCUAAUGUGAUUACAUAGAGUCAUAUUACUACUAGUCCUUUCUUCAAAAGAGCACAUUUGAAACAGAUUAGCUAAAGCUAGUAUGUCUUCAACCAAUGUAGCAGUAUUUGGAUUGUCUCAUUUCCCGGAUUUAAGCAAAGCGAUAAGCUGUUUGUUAGCAUUGAUGAUUUUGAUUCGCUGCCAGCUCAAUUGUCUUGCUUUCAAUAUUGCCAGUCUUACUGCUUCGGCUUCAUCUUGAAUAUCCCUUUUCGAACUUCUUUCAACUGAUUUCCAUUCAGCUCUGAUUCUCCCUCCAGUCUGCCUGGCUACAACACCAAUUCCCAGCUUCUUGUCCUCAGCUGAUUUCUUGGUAGCAAUUUGAAGUUCCAUCAGGUCUUCCUCCUCCCUUCCUUCCUCCCUUGAUCUUUCUCUUGCUUCAUCUGUUUCUGAUGUACUUCUCUCUUUUUUCCCUUGCCAUCAUGCUGGGGCAAUUUUGGGAUGUGCCGGCACCGCCAUUGAAAGUUUCUUUCCUUGUAGAGAAAUUAGCCUGGGAUCAACUUUGAAAUUUGAAUCACAGGAUGACGGAACUUCCUUGCCAUUAUUAUUAAGAUCUAUAUUGGCACUAGUUUUGGGUUGCUUCUAUGGUAGAAAGCUGAGUCAGCUUUGUACCGUAGGCAGAACAAAUGGAAUAAGGACAGCACAUGAGCAUGGGCCAGGCAAAGGACAGCGUCCGUGAAAUACCUACCGAAACCCGGCGGAAGGAGUUGUAAACAUGGGACCCACUUUAGUAUAUGUGUUGUAUUAUUGUAAAUAAACAUGCACCCGCACAAGUUGUGGGCAUGUUUUAUGAACCCCAAAACAAACUAUGGUUACCUGAUGAUGAUUAACAUCAGGUAAGCAUUUAUAGUUUAAGAUUGGAGUACACAUGGCUUAAUUAGAUGAUUUAUUAGAAACAUAAUUAACACAGUACUUCAAGAAAUUAGAAUCGUGACAUAAUUGAUCCAGUAGAUUUUAAUUUAAAUUUAGAAAUUAGAUAAGUAAUCUUAUAUGUAACAUGGUGACUUUUAAAUUAAUAUCGAAUUUGUAGAUGAGUAAUCAUAAACUUAAUUAACAUAGCACUUCAAGAAACUAGAAUUGAGAUUGUAGAUAAAAUAAUCAUAAAUUUUAGAAGAAAAUACUCUCCUCUUUGAAUAAUAAAAAAUUUAGAGUGGCAAGUAUUAAUCUCUUUUUCUUGGUAAUCUUAUUAAUAUUGAAAAAUAUAUAUGAAGAUUAGGGGAGAGAGAGAGAGAGAGAGAGACCUAGAAUGUGUCUUAUGCACUAAUAUAAUAUUAAGUACCAAUCAUUCAUUGACUUUUCUUUCUCUUUACUUACAAUUGAUCAUUAAUUCAUUUUGCAUACUCUCAAAACAUUAAGUUUAAAAUAAUUACUCAUGGUUUGGGGAUUGCAUCGUAUAUUUCAUGAAUUUUCACAACAAAAUGAUCUACACAAAUUAUGGCAUGCAUCUAGGUAGUUAGUGUUUACACUAUUAAUUUAUUUUAGAUUAAUCUUUUUUUAUACCAUCCAUCCAAUAUUUGGGAGCAUCCAAUAUUUAAAUUCCUGUUGUAUCUUACUAUUAAGAGUAUUUAAUUUUUUCUCACAUAUAUAAAAAUUAUGGUUUCUUGAGUAGUUUUGUUAAUUAAUUAUUUACCAAUUACUCGCCCUCCUUUCUGUGCCUUUCUUUUUUUUAAGCAAUUCAUUUGUAAAUUUUCAAUUAAUGUUAGUAAUUAACAAAUCAGUAAAUACUGUACAAAAAUCACCAUAUCAUAAAAGUUCUUUUACAAAUUAAAUUUCAAAUUGAAAAACCAAUUUUCAUGAAAAAGUACAUUUUUAAAUGACCAUAAAAUUAAUUAUUUCUUCAUACAUAGGGAAACUUAAUGCAACAGUGGUACGAAUUUAAGUGAUUCUUUGACUUUUGUUCUUUUAUUUAUUUAUUACUUAAGUUUAUCAAUUAUUGAUCCAUUUUUCACUCUCUUAUAAUAUUAAGUUUAAAAAAGUUAGCAUCUAUACCAAACAAUUUAUAUCAAUAAUGUUGUUGUCCACUACUUCAGGUAAUAUAAACUUUGCCAGUUACCUUUGGGCCCCAAACAAAUAGACAAAGAUGCCUUUAGGGUAGUUGGUAAUUAUAGUAAUUUGGUAAUUACAAUACUUAGGGUAGUUGUAUUGGCAAAAUGUGACUAAGCAAUUAGAGCAAAAAUUAAAAGUUUUUCCCUAAGGAUAAAAUGAAAGUUUAGAAAAUGAUAUUAAAAAGUUUAUACUAAUAGUGAUCCCUCUAACUAAGUUCUCAUAGAUAGUGAUUUUUUAAUUGGAAUCAAAAUUGUAGAUGAAUAAUUAGAAACAUAUUAACAUAGUGUUACAAAAAAUCAGAAUCGUGACAUAAUUGACUUGGUAGAUUUUAAUUUUAAUUUAGAAAUUAGAUAAGUAAUCUUAUACGUAACAUGGUGACUUUCAAAUCGAUAUCAAAUUUGUAGAUGAGUAAUCAUAAAUAUAAUUAAUAUAAUACACCAAGAAACUAGAAUUGAGAUUGUAGAUAAAAUAAUCAUAAACAUAAAUCACCCUACAAUCUCUUGGUAUUUAUAGGGUCUUUUGCUAUUAUUGUUAUUCCAGUAUAGCAUCUAUAGUUUCACUAAUUUAUUUAACCACCCAACUCAAUUUAUAUUAGUAUUUGCUCUUAGCUCCUUUAGAUGAUAAUAGGCUUUGCGCCUUUGCCGGUCACCUUCUCUCAACUGGGCCCCAAAAACAUUGAUAGAGAUGCUUGUGCUGAGCUGUACCUCUAACACUCUUUCUGCCUACGGUGGGCAGGUUGUAACGAUCCCACAUCGGUUAGGGAGGAAGUCCUAGGGCUGCUUUAAUAGCCUGUCGUGGUCUCUCCCACCUGACCGAGGCCUUUUGGAGGGGUGCUGGGCUUCUUGACCUGCGGGCUUGGGCUCUUCACUUGUUGUGGGUAUAACCCCACCUCCAGGAACAAAACCCACGGCCCAAUGGGGCGGUUAACUGUGGGACAAUAUUGGUCAGGGGCGUUAGAGUUGGUAUCAGAGCCGACUCCCGACCCCGGUGUGCCAGCGAGGACACUGGGUCUCCUAAGGGGGGUGGAUUGUAACGAUCCCACAUCGGCUAGGGAGGAAGUCCUGGGGCUGCUUUAAUAGCCUGUCGUGGUCUCUCCCACCUGACCGAGGCCUUUUGGAGGGAUGCUGGGUUUCUUGACCUGCGGGCUUGGGCUCUUCACUUGUUGUGGGUAUAACCCCACCUCCAGGAACAAAACCCACGGCCCAAUGGGGCGGUUAACUGUGGGACAAUAUUGGUCAGGGGCGUUAGACAGGUCAACCAACUUUCCACCAUAGAAGCAACCCUAGUUUUGUGGUUUCAUCAAUUUUCAUCAAGGGAUUUGUGAUUGUGACAUCUUUCGAACUGCAUCCUUUGUUAUAUUUUGUAACUUAGAUAAAAAAAAAUUUAUUCACACUCCAUUCUUUAUUAUUUACACUCCCAUCAUUUAUUUUAUCAUAUAAUUUAAUAAAUAAAAAUUAUAUGAUUAAAAUGAUAGUGAAAGUGUGAUUAAUCAAAAUGGGAGUGCAAACAGCAUUUUUUCGAUAAAAAUAAAAUACUUUUUAAAGAUGUGAUCAAUUUUAAAUCAUUAAAUCAAAAAACACAAACUUUUAGUAUUGAUCGAUAUGGGGUUUGCAUGAAUAGGAUUAAUGUCAUUUGACCUCUCUCAAGUGAACUUUGAUUUGGUUUCAAACUUGCAAAAUCUUCUAAAGGUAGUUCCUUACCAUCUUUGACUGUUCAAUAAUGUGAUAUACCCAUUGUCUUUUGAAGGGUCAAACAAACUAUAGAUCUUUCUAUAGUUUAAGUUAUCAUCAAAGUUGGAUAUUAAGUUUUUACCAUUCAUAUAACACCAACUAAUUAAUAAAAAUCUUUAGUUUCCACAAGUCUUUGCCAAAAUUUCCACGUCAACUGGCAUGUCAAAUAUGGAGAUAAUCUUUUUUCCCUCGUCACAAAGUACUUGUUAGCGGCAGAACUUUUGGGAAGAAAAUGCAUGUGUAAGCUAAGGGUAUUUGUUAUCAAAUGACAAGUUGCACAACAAAUGAAUGUCCAGUAAUCGAAACCAUAAGUUGUAUGUACAUAUGAACAAACUGUAAGUACUAAAUCACAAGGUGUUCAAACAUAAAAACCAAUUAACUGGACGUAGGAAUAAAAUGGAUGGUACAAGUUAAUACAUUAUUAAUUUUUUUAGAUUUCUUUUAAUUUAAACUUACCACAAUUAAGGAAUCCUAAUCAAAGGAAAAAAAAAAAAGAAAAGAGGAAAGUCAACCUUUUUCCACCUUGCAUUAAUUUUGGAAGACAUAGAUGUUAAAGUCUUACAUACCUCUCUUGAGGUUUAGUCUUGUUUAGGUAUCAAAAAUUUACACUUGCUCUCUUAGCAAGGCAAUUGCUAUGACAACCUUGAAAAGAAUACUUAUGCCCAAAUUUGCAAAAAUCAAAAAGCAAAACAAAAACAGAAGAUCGAGAACAUAAUAUGAUGAUUGAAAUAAUUUUUUUAAAACCACAUGAGGGUAUUGCAAAUUAGAGUACAAUUUGAUGAUGUCGUCAUUAAUUUUGGGUUUGUUUUGUUUAAAAAUGCAAAUUUCAAUAUCCGAGGAAUUUUUAUCAAACUGUGCUAAAUCUUGGAGGAGAUGUAAGGAAUUAUCCUGUAAAUGCAAGUGCAGAUGCUAUUGCAAAUUUCCAUCAAAAUUCAAUGUUUUAUGAAGCUAUGCUAAAUCUUUUUGACUGACUUGGUGACUUCUGUUGGCAAGACUAUAUCUAUUGUGCUAAUACAUAUGCUAUAGGGUAAAUUACAUAUAACUCUCUUGUGGUUUUGUCUAUUGCCACAUGAUUUCCUAACAUUUCAAAAUGUUCACUUCACCCCCAAUAAUUUUUUUGUCAUAAAGUGGAAACUUGACAAAAAAUAACCUAUGCAAUGCCAUUAAUUGAAAUAUCAAUAGCGCCCUUAUUUAAAUGCUAAAUCAAUUGCUGACUUAACUACCUUAUUUAAAAGUAUAGGAAAAUAAAAAUUACGUGGACAAAUGCAAAAAUCGUAGGGGGAUAACGUGGAUAUUUUUACAAACUAUAAAGGAGUUAUAUGGAGAUUAAAAUUUUAUCGCAUACGCUUUUAGAGCACGUUGGUAUAAAUAUCGUAACUAAUUGUGCAUAUAAAAUCAUAUAGGGGUUCUGCAACUAUUUUGAAACCUUAGAGGGGUUAUUUGGCAUCACGUAAAAUCAGAGGGGGAUUACAAGUAAUUUACCCUAUAUUAGACGGUGGGACUAAAACUUAAUAGAACUGAUGGAUUUGAUUAAAACCAUAAAGGUUGUUCAUAACAUCUAACAGUAAUUUUACCUUUGACGGUUCAAUAAUGUGACAUGCAUUUCAACUUUUGAAGGGUGAAAUAAGCCAAGUCUUCUUAUUGUUUAAGUCGUCAUCAAAGUUGGAUAUUAAAUUUUUUUUUUAGUUGGACAUUAAGAUUCUACCGCUUAUAUAGCAUCAACUAAUCAAUAAAAAUCUGUAGUUUCCACGCAUCUUUGCCAAAAUUGAUUGGAAUGCAUGUUGUGGCAGACAAAAACAAAAAGGUGAUUGGAAUGUCUCAUUUGCGUCGACUAAGCUUCAUUGCUUUAGGCAACAAUAAUCUCACGGGAGAAAUUCCAUCAUGGUUGGGUAUCUUGGAUAGACUUCAAUACUUGUCCCUAAGAAACAAUUCGUUUGUUGGCCAUCUUCUUGCUAACAUAUGCGACAAUCUUCCAAAUCUAAAAGAGCUCGAUCUGUCUUGGAAUCGAUUGAGUGGUCAAAUGCUAUCAGGUUUAUCAAAGUGCUCCGGACUCAAGUCGUUAGAUUUGUCAUCCAACCAGUUCAACGGUUACAUACCAAAAGCGGUGGGGAACUUGAAAAUGCUUGAGGAGCUACAUCUCGGUGAUAACAAAUUGGAAUGUUACUUUCUUGUUUUCUUAUUCUUUAUUCAGUUCCAUAUUUACAUUUUGUCCCUUUAAACAUUUAUUUCAAAUUAAAGAGAUUUAGGUGUUUAGGUGAUCUUCUGAAACGAAAUUCUGAAUCUACCCACGAAAACAGCAACAUGGUUUUAUGCCACCCACAAUCUUCAAAACCUCCACAUUGGAAUUUGUUGAUUUUGCAGUAUUCCAAAUGUAAAAGAGCUCUGGACUUUGAAAAUGUAUCGUGUUUGUCAUUCAACCAAAAGAAGUUGGUAUUUUUGUGCUACUUUAGUUGCUCUGCUUGUCCGUAUCCAUGUUUCACUAUUAAAUGAUUACUGAAUUUCAAAAUUGGCGUACUAAGUUUUGGCGUUACUUGCGGCUCACCCAGUGGACUGCGAACCUUAUUGCAUUUUUGUCCCUUAGAAAAGUUUUAUAGGCAGUUUACUUCCUCUUCAUAUUUCUCGUCAAAAUUACUCUUGCUUUCAAUUACUUCUAUUUUUCUCUUCCCUUUAAUUCUUUUGUCUCUUUUAGUUUUCCAAUUAAUUUUCUUCAUUUCCCCGUUCUCUCUUGCCACUUAUAAUCAAAUAUAUAAUGGUCAACCAUUGAUUAAUCACAAAUUUAUUUUUGUAGAUAUCCCUGAAUAAAUUAGCUUCUGUAUUAAAAAUGAUUGUAACAGAAGAAACAAACAAAGUACAUAACCUGUAUUAUAACUUGGAGAUUUUAAUUACUACUAGUAAAAAAUGAAUAAAUAAAAAUUUAUGACAAAAAAUAAAAGAGUGGACUAAAGAAUAAUAAAAAAGCUAAAAUUCCAUAAAAUAAUAAGAUAUAUGUUGCUUGUAUAAUAAAGCACAUUCAACUUAGAAAUCAUAUUUAUUUUGGCACAUGUGGAUCAAUAAGAGGUUGAUUAAUCAAUUUUUAACAGUAAGAAAUUGCUCAGUAAUGGCAAGACAGAAAUGAAAAAAUACAAGAAAAAGAAGAGAAAAAAGAAGUAAAAUGAGUAGAAUAGCAAAGGUAAUAUUCUUCUGAAACAUGAAAAAAGGGAUAAGUUACUUAAUAAUAUAUUAUUUUUCUUUUGGAAGGGUGAGGGGUGAGCAAUGUGCAAAUAGUUUAUGAAAAUAGACUAUAACUACUAAUUCAACUGCUAGGCGGGGCAUAUUGUAAGAAUAUAAGGGCAUUAUUGUCUUUUUAAUUGAUCCACUAGUGAGGGACUAAAAGUAAAUCAAAAUUAAUGCUAAGGCUUAUUUAUAAUUAAAACUAUUCUUUAUGUAUUGCUCUAUUUAAAUUUUGUCCUGUUUGGAAGUGUAGUUUUUUAGCAAGUUUGUAUAAAACUAGUUUUUUAACAACUUUUGCUACAGGAAUUUCAAAAAACUUCCCAAAAUUUUUUACGUACACACUUCAAAAAUCUAAUACACAAAAAAUUUCCCUUCAACUUUUCUUCUUUUUCCUCCCUUACCCAACCCACCACGCCAGCCACCACCUCCACCACAUCUCCCAGUGCCGGCCACCUAUUCCGGCGCCGGUCACCUCAAAAGUUUUUUUUCUGUCUCUCUCCCUCACCCCCUCUCCUUCCCUCCCCUCUUCCCCUCUCCCUCCCCCGCCACCCUCCCCCUCCCACUAGUUGCGAUCUGGUCGCGCGACCAGAUCGCAAAAGGAGAGGGGGAGGGUGGCGGGGGAGGGAGAGGGGGAGAGAAAAAGCUAAAAAUAAAAAUAAAAAUCCAUGGCCGGCCUUCCUCUGGCGUCAGAGUGCGAGGGGGAGGGGGAGGGGAGAGGAGAGGGAGAGGGGAGGAAAGGGGUGGCGAGGAAGGGAGAGGGAGGGGGGAGAGGAGAAAAGCAAAAAAAAGAAAAAAAAAAGUUUGUAUGUGUUUGCAGAGUUCGGGAGAGGGAACAGGGGAGGGGGAAGGGGAAGGGAGAAGAAGCGGGAAGGGAGGAAGGAAAAGAAAAAAAAAAGAAAAAAAAGCUUUUUUAUCUUACAAAGUUUUUCUACAAUUUCUACAGUAAUCUACAGUAAAGUUUUAUACAAACACCCAAAAAACUCACCUUCCAAACAGGCCCGUAAUUCUGGUGCUACAAAUCUCUUUGAUUUUGGGCCUUGUAAACAUUUAUCUCUGAUUUCAGGCCCCAAAAGAAAAAAAGCAUACACUUAGUUCUAACGAAUUGGUGGUAAUUCCUCCAAGUGUCGCAGGUAGCAUUCCGGAAGAGAUAGGCAAUCUGCAGAGCUUGAGGGUCUUGUCCAUAACAAGCAGCAAUUUGAGUGGAUCAAUACCCAGGGAAAUCGGAAACCUAACUAUGCUUGAAGGAGUAGAUUUUUCUAACAACAGCCUUACAGGUAACAAAGUGGUGAGAAGUUUCUAAUUUCUGCUGGUUCUAUUAACAAUUGUUAGCAGAUUGGUGCGACAGAAUAUAUAUAUAUAUAUAUGCUUGAAUUAAAUUUUUUUUUAAGUGGGUGGUUUUAUUAUUAUUAUUAUUAUUUGUUGGUUCAGCUAGUCAGCAACAGUAGUAUUAAUCCAAAACUGUUUUAGUGGGAAAAUUUGCUUUAAUUUUGACAUGAAAUUAAUGAACUUCAAGUUGCCAAAAAUCCCCUUUUUAAAUUUUUUUUUUGAAUUUUGUCAAUUUUAGAUAUACAAUUUUCAUCAGUGGAAUUAUAUAACAUGUCGAUACAAUAAACUUCCUGAAUUUGGAACUUUAUAUAUAUAGAUAAACAAUUUGAAUGGCCAAAUGCCGUAAAGCUUUUUUAAAAAAUUCCCCGCUAUAAAUUCUUUACAUAGGGAUCAACAAACUCAAUGGGCAAAUACCAAGGGGGGAUUGGAAAUUUGUUAAUCUACUAUGCUUAAAAAGUUGUAUCUAGAUGAUAGCUAAUUUGAUAGGUAUAUAUGUUAAUUUUCAAUGAGUUGUAGCCCUGAAUUUGGUGCAACUUUUGGAGUAUAUUUAAAUGAGAUUGGUUUUGUUCAUGAAUCGACAGGUUCGAUUCCAAACGAGAUUGGCAACUUGCUCAAAUUGGAAAGCCUUGCCUUGGCUGAUAAUAGCUUAAGUGGUUCAAUACCGGUUUGGAUCUUCAACAUGUCAACUCUGAGGAUGCUCGACCUUUUUGGCAAUCAUUUAUCAGGCGUUCUUCCAUCAAAUAUGUGCCAUGGCCUGCACAAUUUGGAAGAUAUUCAUCUUGGUAGGAAUAACUUCAGCGGAGCCAUACCCGCCUCUAUUUCAAACUGUUCGAAACUAAUUGAAAUAUAUCUUUUUGAUAACAAAUUCAGUGGUCCAAUUCCCAAUUCCCUUGGAAAUUUGAGACGUCUCGAAGUUCUAUAUCUGUCUGCUAACAAACGAGCGAAUCUUCAUCCCCAGAAUUGGGCCUCUUCACUUCCCUCACAGAUUGCAUCUCUUUAAGGGAUAUCCGGGUAGAAGACAAUCCGUUAAAUGGGGUUCUUCCGAGAUCCAUCGGGAAUCUUUCUAUUUCUAUUAAAUGGCUGAUUGUAGGGAACUGUGGACUUAGGGGGAACAUUCCAGACAGCAUUGGAAACUUGAGCAAUUUAGUUUUUUUAGGUCUACGUGACAAUAGUUGGACUGGAUCAAUUCCAACUUCGAUAUGGGGUUUGCAAAAGCUUCGGUAUUUGAAUCUUAUCAAUAUUUCCCUCACUGGUCCGCUCGCUCGUGGUCUCUGUGGUUUGCAGAGUUUGGAGUAUUUAUACCUAAGUCAAAAUCAGAUUAGCGAUUCAAUUCCAGGAUGUUUCAAUAAUCUUACAUCUUUGAAAUAUCUUAACAUUGCUUUCAAUAGAUUAACCUCUACUUUGCCAAUGAGCUUGUGGGAUCUUAAAGGUCUUGUGUAUGUCAACUUGUCGUCGAAUUUCUUGAGAGGACCUUUGGCUCCAGAGAUGGGAGAAUUAAAGAAUUUGACAAGGUUAGACUUGUCAAACAACCAGUUUUCAGGCAAAAUCCCCAGUACUAUUUGGAGUUUAGAGAGUUUGGACCAUCUUUCUUUAUCAAAUAACAGUUUGAGAGGACCAAUCCCGGACAGUCUUUGAAUUGGUACCUUUGAGUUUGGGCCUAGAAAAUUAGCCUAUUACAGAGUAACCUCUCUGGUCAGAUUCCCUAAUACUUAAAUAUUCACUUUAUAGAAUUAAGCGGUGACUCAUGUAUUCUUGCUCUGUAAUAAAUUAAGGCUUGUGUAGAAUUUUUUAUUCCAAUAUCCACCAUACCAAGCUAUUCUAAACAAUAAAUUCAAGGACAAUAAAGGUGUCUAUGCAUAUAUUUAUUGUGCCAGAACUAUUCUGAUAUUUUUUUAAUAAAAAUUCAAUUAGGAAGUGAAAAUUUCUCCUAACUAACAAAAGAUAUAAAGAAAAUAAAUGUUUAUUGUUACAAUGUUAGCCCAUGGAAAAAAAAUUAGAGUUGUCUAGUUCAUUUAAAGUGAUGGUAAUCUUUUUUUUUUUAAUUCAAAAAAAUGUGGCCUCUUGGAAGGCACAUUUUCUUUUACCAGUGAAAAUUUUGGAUUUUUUCUUUAAAAUAUGUAGUAUACUUUUUCUUUGUCGGCACCAUCACUCUCACGUCAAAAUUGGAAAACUACAGUCGAAUAGCUUUUGGUACGAUAAUUGAAGACUAAAGGUUAGUUUUGUAAUUUUCUUGUUGCUUUGGUGAAAAUAAUAAUAUAACAGACCGGCAUUAUGGAAAGUAAGGUUAAAGAUAUUUGCAGCAAAUGACUGACACAAAUUCACUUGUUCUUCCACUUGAAGUUCGUGUCAUGGAAUAUGGAGAACAGCCCCGAUUAAUCUGUCUAUUAAUUUAAGUAUGCGUGAAACAAAAAAGUUGAAAAAUAGUAAGGGAGCCAUCAAUAUUUGUUUUUGGUCCUUUUAGCAUUAUUUUGCCCAGGACUUUUUUUUGCGUCUUUCUCAAAGGCUUGGAGGUGGCAAAGGUGAAGUACAUAUAUACAACAUUAAUAUCAGUUGAGGAUCAUAUAGUACAAAAAUAAUAUAUAUAUAUAUAUAUAUAUAUAUAUAUACACCGAUUAAAACCACUAUUAGUUGACAAGAAUAUGUUUAUAGUACUGUAGGGAUACCGGCGUGAUUAAUGAGUUACUUCUAAAUACAUGAAUCAUGCCAUAAGACCUGUGCAAUGGCCCCAAUAAUUUCUUAACGAUGGGAAUGGAAAAUUGAACCUCAUGUAAUUGAAGCUCUCUCUGUUUGGUCAUUACCAAUUGAGUAACCCCUUGAGAGUUGUCAAGGAUAAACUUCAUUCGUACACCCAACAAUUUACACAUUUUUUUGUUUUAAAAGAUACGUUGAUAUACAUAAUAUUGUUGAUCGUACAACUUUAUUUAACUCAUCUGUAAUUUUGUAUUUGUUUAUACCACUUUUUGGGUUUCUUUUAAUAUCAUCCGUGAGUGAACUUACACACCACUCCAACCAACAUAUUGCUCUUCAUCGAAUCACUAAUUGAGCAAUUGAUAAGACUGGACAUUUUGUAGGUUAGUAUGUUUGCUAUGAUUAAGCGAUUACAUGAGGACUGAAAAUUCUCGACUUGUGAUUUUGCUGCCAUCACUUUUUGUAUUAUGGAAAUAGAAAGUGGACAACUACAGAAGCUAAUAAAGUGUUUCUAAUGCUAUAUAAUAUCAACAAUUCAUUCCUUGACUUAUUUUUCAACCUUUCCGUUUUUUUUUUUUUUGGAGCAUAACCUUCCCGUUUUUUAUCAUUUUUCGUAUUCUAUAGUCUCGUAAUGUAGUUCAUUUAUUUGUUGAAAUGAAUCUGGGCCAGUUUUUACCAAUUUAUUUGCUGGUGCAUUGGUGGGUGAGGGUAGAGAAACUUAUGUCUUAGACCCAAAAGUAUUUGUCUUGCUUUCGUCUCAAAACAACACCCAGGCCGACAAUUAAUUAGUCACUGGUCUUAGUAUGUAAAUACAGCCCAGGCCCAGCAGCAUGAUAUUGUACUGAUAACAAAGACAUCACUUGUAAUCGUAAGGCGAUUGAUUCCACUCUCACACGGUCACACCCUUCCCUUUUUUCUUCUUCUUCUUUUUUUUUUUUUGUUUUUUGUUUUUUGCUUUGUGUUUCAUUGUAAGGUUUGAAGUUUUAUAUGACGCAUACAAACUAAAAGAUAAUCCAUGUCAAAAUUUAAAAAAAAAAUUUGUAUUUUUAUAGGUGAAGUCAUAUAACCUUCAAGCCUUCUGUCUAAAUUAAUAUUUCUAUCUACCAAUUUUCAUUUCGAGUUGACUAAAGUCAACCAUGGACAGAAUUCAACCUUAAUUGCUACGGCCCUAGAAAACAUAAACGGCAACUUCUUGACAGGUUGAUUUUAAACGGCAAGUUAGGUGUUUCAUUUCGAGUUGAAUUGACAGGUUUGAUUUUAAAUGAGGUUGGCAACUUCUUGAAAUUGGAGCAACCUAACUUGCAAUUUAGCAAAUUUCACUUCCUCGAUGCAAGCCGUGAUCUUCAACAUCUCAACACUCAGGAUUUUCUCACUUUUAGGCAAUCAUUUAUCUGGCAAUCUUCCAUCAAAAUAUGUGCUGUGGCCGGUACAAUUUGGAAGGACUUUAUCAUGCUGAGAACAACUUCACUGGAGCUAUAGCAGUAUCUAUCCCAAACUGUUCAAAGCUGAAUUUUACUCUCAUGGUUAUAACAAAUUCAGUGGUGGAAUUCCUAUUUCCAUUGGCAAACCAAGACACCUCGAAUUUUUAGAGCUAAUUGAUAACAAUUUGACAAGUGAAUCUUCAUCUCCAGAUUUGAACCACUUCAUUUCCUAGGCCGGUUGCAUCUCUCCAGGGAAGACCUCAGUGUCAGGAAAUCCGUUGAAUGGGGUUCUCCCAAUUUCAAUUGGAAUCCCUCUAGUUCUGUUGAAAAGUUUUAUGCAGAAAACUGUGGAAUCAAGGGUAACAUUCCAUGGAGCAUUGGAAGCUUGAGCAAUCAUUUGACUGGCUUCAUCCCUUCUACGAUUAAUGGGUUCACAAGCUGCAAGGGUUGUUGUAUCUCCAAAAUAAUUCUAUGAGUGGUUCCCUAUUUGGUGAUCUCUGUGGUUUACAGAGUUUGAAUAUAUAUAUACACGUCUAAGCCAAAACCAGAUUUCUGACUCAAUUCCAGAAUGCUUCGGUAACCUCACAUCUUUGAGGUCUUUUUAUAUAGCUUUCAAUAGAUUAACCUCUACUCUACCAAGGACCCUGUGGAAUCGCAAAGAUUUUCGAAAAUUUCAGUAGCCGCUGGCACAUUUUGCCCAGUACAAUAAGUGCCUUAGUUUGCAUUUAAGGUUUGCAUUUUGCCCAGUACAAUAAAUAUAAGAUGAAUUUUUUUUAAAAUUUUUUGGUAGUAAUUCAACUUUUAUUGCUGUGGCAAGGAAUACAAAUUAUUACAAACAACUUGAUACCUGGGACUUUCCUCCAACUAGCCACUGCACUUGUGAUGACUUUCCUCCAAAUUAUUGUGGGAAGCAUACAGGAAAACAUGUGCCACAAUCUUUCCAAACUCGAAUGGAUUGAUCUAAAUAGUAAUCUUCUACAAAUUUGAGCAAAUGCUCAUCACUCAGAUAUUUGUCAUUGGCAGUCAACGAAUCGAGUGAAUCAGUACCGAGGGAGCUUGGAAAUCUAACCAUGCUUGAAGAACUAUGGUCUUGAUAUACCUCAGUGCAACGAGAGGGUAAGAAGUUCUAAAUUUUCAGCUAGCGAGGAUAUAUUACUCUACUUGUAUUUGGUGGCUAAGGACCUUUUAAAUCAAAUCGACAGGUUUAAAGACUUCAUUGAAACUUAUCACAGUUAAGAGGCCAAAUGAAAACAUUGUGGUGAAGUUUCGGGAUGAUUAAAGUCUUUAUCCUUUUUUUUUUUCCUCGUCAAUCUUAAAACUUUCGUGGGUAUUUGAUUUUGCAGGUGAAAUACCGAAAGAGAUCUGUAAUCUCUGCGGCCUUAAGUCAUUACACCUAUCAAAUAACAUGCUCAGGGUUCCAUUACCGGUGGAGAUAUAUAACAUGUCGAAGUUAAGUGUCAUUGCCUUGAACAAUAACAGCGUAUCUGGAUCCCUCUCAGAAAGUAUAUGCGAUCAGCUUCCAGAACUUGAACGUUUAUAUCUAUAUGAAAACAAUUUGGAAGGCCAAUUGCCAAGAAACUUAUUCAGAUGUCCUGCGCUUACAGUUCCCCAUCUAAAGAGGAACAAAUUCAAUGGAGAAAUACCACAUGAGAUUGGCAAUUUGACUAUGCUUAAGGUCCUAUAUCAAAAUGACAACCAUUUGACAGGUAUAUCUAUAUCUAUACUCCGGUUGUCAGGUAUAUCUAGAGGUGUCAAAAUGGAUGAUUUGGACGGGUUUGGGUUGGGUAAAAUGGGUAAUGGAUAUAAAUGAGUCAAUCCAUUUAUACCCAUUUAAUUAGAUGGGUAUAAAUGGGUAAGUCAAAAAAUGAAUUGGAUAACCCAGUUAUCCAUUUAUAACGCAUUUAUUUUAACUUUUGUAAACUCAUUUAAAUUCAUUUUUGCAAACUAAGUUAUCAAUUUAUACUACUUUUUGCACCCAUCAUUAGUUUUAAAUAUUUACUUAUAAUGUUCAAUAAGUCUAAUUAUCAAUUUUUUUUUAUCCGUACUCUAUGUCGCAAAAUUACAUACUAUUAAAUAAUUGAAUAAUAAAAAUACAAAAAUUUAAAUUAAGUACUAUAAAAAUUAACAUAAAAAUUAAUCCAAAAAUUUUGAACCCCUAAUAUUUUUUUCAUGUGUAAAUUUAAAAUUUCAUUUUGAAAAUGUAGGAAAAGAGGCUAAAACUUUAUCAUAAAUUGGUAAUGCUAAAAAAUGAGUAAGUUAACAAAUUAAGAGAAAAUAAAAUGAUAAAAUAAAACCAACAAAUAACAAUAAUAAUGAAACAAAAGUAGUUAACAUCAUAACAAAAUGAAAAAUCUGAAAAAAAAAAUAGGGGCGGGAAGAGAGGAGAUUUGGGGGAAAAUAAUUCUAAAUGAGUUAAUUGGGUUUGAUGGGUUACCCAAUAAUACCCAUUUAAUAAAUGGAUAUUAUUGGGUAACCCAUUUAUACCCAUAUGCAAAACUUAAGAUACCCAUACCUAUCUAUUCAUGAACGGGUACGGGUAAAUUUAAUUAAAUGGGUUGAUUUGCCACCUAUAGGUAUAUCUAUAUCUAUACCCCUUAUAAAAGUAAAGUUCAAAGUACCUUUCUCCUUUAUCAUUAUUGUUAUGAUAGUAGUCAAUAAUUAUAGCAGUUAUGAAGAAAAAAUUGUACACUUAAUUAAAUUUGAACUAUAGAACUCCAAUCUAUGCUCCUUAUAAAAGUUGCGUUGAGUCUAGAUAAAUUAGUGUAAGUUGGUCUUAGUUCUCUACUAUGUUCAAAACACCCUUCUUCAUAAUUAUUAGAUUUAUUGUAUUAUGAGAGUAGUUAAUAAUUAUACCAGUUAUGAAGAAAAAACUGUAAACUUAAUUGAAUUUGCAUUACAGCACUCCAAUCUAAUUUGUUGUUCGUUCUUAGGAGUCUUUGUCAUUUGUACUUUAUUUUAAUGAUUUGGCUUGACUAUUUGAAAAAUGAAUUAAUUUAAAUUUACUGGGUAUAAUGGAGUCAUGGAGGGGAUAUUUGGGAGUGAAAAAAUAGUAUAGCAUGAGUCUUAGAUUAACAGAAAAAAAAAAAGCAAAUAUACUGAGCCUAAUGCCUCUAUAGAUUUUGUAUAUAAUUUAAUUUAAAAAUUUACCUUAUAAGAAUUAAUGAAUUCUAUAAAUUGAUCCUAAUGCCAUCUAAAUUUUGAUAUCAUAGUUUGAACUAUUACUUUAUAAGUAUUAAUGAAUUUUAUAAAUUGAUCCUAACGUCCCUUUAGAUUUUGAUAUUAUAGUUUAAACCUUUACUUUAUAAGUAUUUAUAAAUUCUAUUUGCUAGUACUCCAACACUUGAGAUAUACAUUUUUCUCACCUAAGGACAUUGUUUUGUGUAUAAAAAAUUUGAAAAAAUUCCUCAAAGAAAUCUUUACAAAUGAGGGAUACCUCUAGCUUGUUUCAAUUUAAAUUAUAUUUUUAAGAAUAGUUGAUUAAAGAAGAUGGAAAAUAUGCAAAUAUUAAAUUACGAUGUUAAUAAUAGAAUUUCACAAGAAAAAUUAAAGUACAAAGGAGAUAUUAUAUUUAAUGAUACUAUAAUCAUGUGCAAAACACAUGACCUCCCUUGAGCUUUACCUUGCUUAAGUAUCAAAAAUUACAAUUACUCUUUUGGCGACACAAUUGCUAUGAUAAUCUUGAAAAGAAUACUAAUACCCAAAUUUGCAAAAACCGAAAAGCAAAAAAAAAAAGAAGAGAGAAAAUAAUAAUUAUGAUCAAUGAUGAUUGAAAUAAAAUUUUUUAAAACCAUAUAAGGUUAUUUUUGCAAAAUUUGAGUACAACCAUUUUAUUAUGUCUAAAAAUAAAAAUUUCAAUAUCUGAGGAACGUACAUGAAACUAAGCUAAAUCUUGGGAGAGAUGCAAGGAGUUAUGCUUAAAAUGUGAGUGCAGAUGUUUUUGCAAAUUUCCAUGAAAGUUCAAAAGGAACCACACUUCAUUUUGACUAAUUGAGUGUUUUCAAUUGAACUGCAUACAUUACACGGUGGGACUGAGAACUGAUGAAUUUGAAUAAAAUCAUUAGUUUGUUCAUAACAUUUAACGGUAGCUCCUUAUCAUCUUUGAUGGUUCAAUAACAUAAUAUACACUUCGUGUUUUGAAGGGUCAAACAAGUCAGGUCUUCCUAUAGUUUAAGUCAUCGGUCAAAAUUGAAUAUUAAAUUCCCACUACUCUAUAACAUCAACUAAUUAAUAAACAUCUUUAGUUUCCACAAGUCUUUGCCAAAAUUUCCACGCCAACUGGCGUGUCAAAUAUGGAGAUGAUCUUUUUUCCCUCGUCACAACGUACUUGUGAGCGGCAGAAUUUAUGGGAAGAAGAUUCAUAUGGUUAUGUUAAGGGUAUUUGUUAUCAAAUGACAAGUUGCACAACAAAUGAAUGUCCAAUAAUCGAAACCACAAAUUCUAUGUGCAUAUGAACAAACUGGAAGCACUAAAUCACAAGAUGUACAAAGAUAAAACCAAAUAACAGGGCGUAGGAAUUAAAUGGAUGGUACAAGUUAAUAUAUUAUUAAUUUAUUUAGAUUUCUUUUAAUUUAAACUUACCACAAUUAAGGAAUCCUAAUCAAAGGAAAAAAAAAAAGGGAAAGACAACCUUUUUCCACCUUGCAUUAAUUUGGAAGACAUAGAUGUUAAAGUAUUUCAUAUUGUUUGAUCAAAUCAAUCUUUUUGUUUCCAUUCCAAUUGUGAGACAAGUCUAGGUUUUCGUCUUUCAUUUGUCUAAACUUUAUGUAUUUCUCUAAACCUUCCACUGAUAUUUGAUAUUUCUAAUUAAAUCUUUUCUUGGCUUCUAACAUUUUUCUUCUUGAUUUUUCCAUGACUUUCCCCCCUUCAUUUCCAUUGUAGAAAGAUAUACUUACCUUCCAUUUUAUUUGGAUUUUCAUCUUGUACGAAACUGUACAUAAAUUGCAUUACACAAUAUCAUUAAUUACAUGACCAAUUCUAUUCAAGUUUAUACAUUCCGUCAAAAUAUUUUACAUGCUUCUGUCUUUUUUUUUUUGGCCCUAAGAACAUCUAUUUUAGAGGGAUUAUGUGGAUAAAUGCAAAAAUUAUAAGGGGAUAAAAUGAAUAUUUAUACAAACUAUAAAGGGGUUACAUAGAGAUUAAAAUUUUAUCACAUGAGCUUUUAGAGUGUGUUUGGUAUAAACGUCAUAAUUGAUUGUGCAUUCUGUCCAUUUUCCAUUGUAUAUAAAAUUAUAGAGGGGUUAUGUGGCUAUUUUAAAAUCUUAGAGGGGUCAUCUUGCAUUAUGUAAAAUCUUAGGGGGAAUACAAGUAAUUUACCAUAUAUUACAUGGUGGGACUGUGACAGGCGUCAAACCUGUGCAAUAAUAAAUACCUGCUUAAAUAAAAUACAAAUUCUGUAUAUAGCGGUAAGCAGGGUCGAAUCCACAGGGACUGGGGAUAAUUUAAUUUCUUCUCAAGUUCCAGAUAUGGGGGGUUUUGAAAAUGAUAGUAACUAAAUUACUUGGAAUAAAUUAAAAUAAAAUAAAACAACUACACUCAAAUAACUAAUUAUCACAAUAAAAAUAAUAAUGGACGAACUCUAGCCAAGAGACAACUUCGGAGAUGGUUCACUUAAUUCGAUCACAGAUGCAAGGAUUAUUCCAGUUACUAUCUGAUAAAUUAGUUAUAGUUGUCAUACACGCGAUAAACAACCAACUCUUCCUUAAUUUGUCGAUAGCCAAGGUACGAUCGUUGACUAUUUCUCUAAUAAGGAAAUAACCCUAGGUACGACCAUAGAAGUUCAAUUCCCUAAUUGCAUGAAUAAUUAGAAGAGCCUAAUUCUAACCAAUCAACACGCUACGAGGGUCUCUUUAAGUUAGCCUGCCUAUCUCCCUGACACAAACCCAAUCAUGCCAGUUGCCACCAGUUUAGAAUAAUUAAACAAUUACGGAUUUAACUACCCUAAUUGGCUUCAGGUUAUUGAAUUAAUCUAGAAUCCGGGCCCUGAAUAAUCGAAUAAUAAAACAACCAUAUGAACAUAAAGCAGAAGACAGACAAAUACCAGUGAAUAAUGGGAAUAAAUAAAAACUAAUUCGAUCUCACAAAUUUAGUAGAACCAAAUCCUCCGUUGUUCUUGACUAGACAAACUUAGCCACGCCUCAUGAGAAAAUCUUCAAGUAAUUCCACUGAGAUCCAGGCCAUCAAAAGAGCCAAGAAAGAAACGAAAAAACUAAAACUAUCCUAAAGCUUCGAUAAGAACUAAAGAUAAAAAGUAUUCCCUCCCUAAAACCUUCUCUACGUUUUUCUUUUUAAAGCCAAAGGGAACAAUGACAUAAUGCUUCCUACUCCGUGGUCCCCACCAAAAUUGAAAGCCAAGGAAAGAAUACAAAAGCUGCGGCUCAAUUUUCUUUUUGUUUCCUCGGUUCCUAGGGCUCUCAUGGCCCUUUCUUCAUCAGCUCAAUAAGGGCCAAAGGGAAAUCCAUUUGUUUCCUCUCUUGUGGGCCACGUUGAGUGGGCCUUGCAGAAGACUCCCAUGUGUGCAGUAAAUUGCUCAGAAAGUCCUUCCUUUUUUGUAGUUUCUGUUCCAUUCCCUGAAAUUAAAUCCAAAUACCAAAUAUAAAUAAAUAUUAAUAAUUAAAACAAUAUUUGGCAAAGACAAAGGGGAAAUUAAUAAUAAAAUAACCAACAAUUAACACCCUAUCAGACUGCAACUUAACAGAACUAAUGGAUUUGAAUAAAACAUUAAAGUUUGUUCAUAACAUCUAAGGUAGUUCCACCUUUGACGAUUCAAUAAGGCAAUAUGCAUUUCGUCUCUUGAAGGGUCAAACAAGUCAAGUCUUCCUAUUAUUUAAAAGUCGUUUUCAAAGUUGAAUAUUAAAUUUUUUUUAGUUGGAUAUUAAAUUUCUACCACUCAUAGAACAUCAACUAAUCAAUAAAAAUAUGUAGUUUCCACGAGUCUUUGCCGAAAUUUCCACAUCAAUUGGCGUGUCAAAAAUGAAAUGUGACCAUUUUGCUAGUCAUGCCAUCAUGCGGACCCCCUCAAAUGCACAGAAGGAGACAGCCUACUGCUAAAAUUUCCAAUAAAAUUUGACCAAUUUGCUCGCUCGUCAUAAAAGUUGGAUAUUAAGUUUUCUCACAUCAACUGAUUAAUAAGAAUGUUUUAGUUUCCACAAGUCUCUGCCAAAUUUUCCACGUCAACUGGUGUGUCAAAUAUGGAGAUGAACUUUUUCUUCCUCGUCAUAAACUACUUGUCAGCGGCAGAACUUAUGGGAAGAAAAUUCAUAUGAUUAUGUUAAGGGUGUUUGUUACCAAAUGACAGGUUGAACAACAAAUGAAUCGAAAUCACAAGUUGUAUGUACAUAUGGACAAACUGUGAGUACUAAAUAACAAAGCAUAAAAAUCAAAUAACAGAAUGUAGGAAUUAAAUGGAUGGUACAAGUUAAUACAUUAUUAAUUUUUUAUAUUUCUUAUAAUUUAAAGUUACCACAAUUAAGGAAUCCUAAUUAAAGAUUAAAAAAAAAAGGAAAGACAACCUUUUUCCACCUUGCAUUAAUUUUGGAAGACACAGAUGUUAAAGACUUUCAUAUCGUUUAAUCAAAUCAAUCCUUUUGUUUCCAUUCUUCUUGUGUGACACGUCUAGCUUUUCAUCUUUCAUUUGUUUAAACCUUAUUUAUUUCUCUAAAACUUCUACUCACAUUUUAUUUUUUCUAAUCAGUUCUUUUUCUUUUUUUUUAAACAUUUUUCUUCUUGAUUUUUGAUUUUUCCACGACUUUUUUCCUUCAUUUCCAUUGCAGAACCAAAUACUUACCUUCCAUUUUGGAUUUUCAUCUUGUAAGAAAACAUACUUAAACUUGUAUCACAUCGUCAUUAAUUGCAUGAUCAAUCCUAUCGAAAGGGUAUUUGGAUAUGCUUGGGCCAUUUAGAAUUGGCUAAAACUGGUCUAGACGUUUGAGAAUAGACAAGUCAAACGAGUCUAGUCUUCCUAUAGUUUAAGACGUGGUUAAAAUUGGAUGUUAAGCUACUCUCACAUCAAGUGCUUAAUAGGAAUGUUUUAGUUUCCACAAGUCUUCGUCAACUAGCGUAUCAAAUAUGGAGAACCUAUGGGAGUCAUCUACGGUAGGAACGUAUUGAUGUUUCUUUCCACCCUAGGAAUGUGCAACACGAAGAUAUCGACAGCACAUCAAAGCAUUCUCAGUGAGAAGGCAAGCCCACGUCUAAAUUCCAUUGAGGUUUACCUUGCUUAGGUAUCAAAAAUUAAACUUAGUCUCUUAGCGCACAAUUACUAUGAUAACCUUGAAAAAGAAUAUUAAUACCCAAAUUUGCAAAAACCGAAAAGACAAAAAAAAAAGAGAGAAAAUAAUAAUUAAGAUCAAUGAUGAUUGAAAUAAAUUUUUAAAAUCAUAUAAGGUUAUUUUUGCAAAAUUUGAGUACAGUUUGAUGAUGUCACCAUUUUGGGUUUAUUAUGUCUAAAAAUACAAAUUUCAACAUCUGAGGAACGUAUAUGAAACCAUGCUAAAUAUUUGGGAGAGAUGUAAGGAGUUAUCCUUAAAAUGUGAGUGCAGAUGUUAUUGUAAAUUUCCAUCAAAGUUCAGAAAGAACCACACUUCAUUUUGACUGACAGUGUUUUCAAUUGGCAAGAGCAUAUCUAUUGUAUUACUACAUACAUUAUAUGGUGGGACUAAAACUUAAGAUAAAUGAUGUAUCUGAAUAAAACCAUUGGUUUGUUCAUAACAUUUAGAGGUAGUUUCUUACCAUCUUUGACGAUUCAAUAACGUAAUAUACACUUCAUCUUUUAAUAAAGGGUCAAACAAGUUAGACAUUUCUAUAGUUUAAGUCGUGGUCAAAGUUGAAUAUUAAGUUUCUACCACUCAUAUAAUAUUAACUAAUUAAUAAAAAUCUUUAGUUUCCACAAGUCUUUGCCAAAAUUUCCACUUCAACUGGCAUGUCAAAUAUGGAGAUGAUCUUUUUUCCCUCGCCACAAAGUACUUGUUAGCGGCAAAGGAAAGACAAUUUUUUUCCACCUUGCAUUUAUUUUGAAAGACAUAUAUGUUAAAGUCUUUCAUAAUGUUUAUGAACUGAUGAAUUUGAAUAAAACCAUAAAGUUGGUUCAUAACAUCUAACGGUAGUUCCACCUUUGACAGUUCAAUAACGUGAUAUGUACUUCGUCUUUUAAAGGGUCAAACAAGCCAAAUCUUUCUAUUGUUUAAGUCGUAAUCAAAGUUAAAUAUUAAAUUUUUUCCUAGUUGGAUAUUAAAUUUCUACUACUCAUAUAACAUCAAUCAAUCAAUAAAAAUCUAUAGUUUUCACAAGUCUUUGCCAAAAUUUCCACGUCAAUUGGCGUGUCAAAUAUGGAGAUGAUUUUUUUCCACAAUUAAGGAAUCCUAAUCAAAGGAUAAAAAGGAGAGACAACUUUUUUCCACCUUGCAUUUAUUUUGAAAGACAUAGAUGUUAAAGUCUUUCAUAUUGUUUGAUAAAAUCAAUCUUUUUGUUUUCGUUCUUCUUGUGUGACAAGUCUAACUUUUCAUCUUUCAUUUGUUUAAACCUUAUUUAUUUCUCUAAAACUUCUACUCAUAUCAACUCUUUUAUUGUUUUCUAACAUUUUUCUUCUUGAUUUUUCCGUGACUUUUCCCCUUCAUUGGCAUUGUAGAAAUAUAUACUUACAUUCCAUUUUAAUUGGAUUUUCAUCUUGUAAGAAAGUAUACUUAAAUUUGUAUCACAAAGUUAUUAAUAGCAUGAUCAAUCCUAUCAAAGAGGAUAUGUUAGCAAUAAAGUAUUUGGAUAUGCUUGGGCCAUUUAAAAUUGGCUAAAACCUGGUUGCUAAUACGAAGAGUCAAACGAGACUAGUUUUCUUUUAGUUUAAGUCGUCAUCAAAACUGGAUAUUAAAUUUCUGUCACAUUAACUAAUUAAUAAGAAUGUUUUAGUUUCCACAAGUCUUUGCCAAAAUUUCCACGUCAACAGGCGUGUCAAAUAUGGAGAACCAAUAGGAGUCAUCUAUGGUAGGUAGUGAUGUUCCUUCCUACCGUAGCACAUCAUGAGAGCAUUCUCAGUGAGAAGUCAAGCCCACGUCUAAAUUCCCACGGCAAAGAAAAAUGUGAUUUGUGGCAGGCCCCAUUGAUUAAUGAAUUUGAUAUAAAAUUUGUAUUGUUAAUGUAAACAAAACAAAUUUUCACAGUAUAAUUUUUACAUUAGUAGUUAUAAUGCUUAAGGCUGAUUGUGCUGAAAAGUAAAAAAAUAAAAGUAAAAUGAAUAGUUAUUUUGACAAUUUGUAUUUAGGUAGUUUAAUUAAAAGUGCCUAAAUACAUGGGUAAAAUUUGAUGGAUUAAAAAUAACUUAAAAAAUGAAUUUCUGGAUCGAAAUAUCUAAGAAUUGUAUACUUGGAAUGAAUGGAUGUUUCGCAUGAUAGAGAAAAAUACAAACUUUGGUGCGGGCCUGCCACUGUUAGUGCCACAAAUCAAAGUUAAUCUCUUUACUCUUACUAGGAAAAUUCAGUCACAGGAAAAUUCGUUAGCACGAGUUCCCACUGUGGUUUGAUGGAGAUGGUCUGUCUUUCCCUCCAUACAAUUUCAUUGUUAGACAGAAUCCCUUUCAUAAUCAUAAAUGCUGCUAGUAGUUGACAGCAUUUGAUCUUGAGAUACAAAUAUUGCCUCUCAAUGGAAGUAUAUAUAUACUUACUUCCCCAUAAUAGUAGUAUAUACAUACUUACUUCCCCAUCGUCAGCUCUAUUUGCCAGCUUAGUCAAAAGAAAUGGAGAGAGCAUACUAUUACUUUCCUGUAGGACUUUUAUUAGCCACUUAUCUGUUAGCCGUGGGCACAGCCGAUAUCAUAAAUGAUAAAUCUGCCCUUGUAGCUUUCAAAAAUCACGUAGUUCUUGAUCCUCACUCAAUUGUGGCAAAAAAUUGGUCCAUUUCUUACUCUGUUUGUGAUUGGAUUGGAGUUACAUGUGACUCUGGUCGUCAAAGAGUGGUGGCAUUAAAUAUUUCUUACAUGGGUUUUGCAGGCACGAUUCCUCCACAACUGGGAAACCUCUCAUUCCUUGUUUCUGUCGACAUGAGCAGCAACAGUUUUCAUGGUCAUUUGCCAGAAGGAAUGUCUCAUUUGCGUCGACUAAGUUUCAUGGCUUUAAGCAACAACAAUCUCACGGGAGAAAUUCCAUCAUGGUUGGGUGUCUUGAAUAGACUUCAAUACUUGUCCCUAAGAAACAAUUCGUGUGUUGGCCAUCUUCUUGCUAACAUAUGCGACAAUCUUCCAAAUCUAAAAGAGCUCGAUCUGUCUCGGAAUCAAUUGAGUGGCCAGAUGCUAUCAGGUUUAUCAAACUGCUCCGGACUCAAGUCGUUAGAUUUGUCAUUCAACCAGUUCAAUGGUUACAUACCAAAAGCGGUGGGGAACUUGAAAAUGCUUGAGGAGCUACAUCUCGACAAUAACAUCUUGAAAGGUUACUUUCUUGUUUUCUUAAUCUUUAUUCAGUUCCAUAUUUACAUUUUGUCACUGUAUAAUUAUCUUAAUUUCAUGUGCUACAAUCUCUUGAUCUUUGGCCCUUUUAAACAUUUAUUUAAAGUUAAAGAGAUUUAGGUGUUUAGGUGAUCCCCUGAAACGAAACUCUGAAUCUACCCACGAAAGCAGCAACACGGUUCUAUGCCACCCACAAUCUUCAAAACCUCCACAUUGGAAUUUAUUGAUUUUGCAGAAUAACAAUUAUCUGGUAAUAUUCCUACUGAUAUAUGCCACAGUAUUCCAAAUGUAAAAGAGCUCUAUCGCCUUUGGAAUCAGUUGAAUGGUCAACUAGUAGCAGGUUCAACAAAAUGCUCUAUCGACUUGGGGUAUUGUGUUUGGUCAUUCAACCAGUUCAACGGAUAGAUACCAAAAAGAAGUUGGAAAUUUGAAAAUGCCAGUAUCUAUAUCUUGGCACUAACAGUUCGCGGGAGGGGGGGAUGGGGUGGUUGUAUUAGAAGGGUAUAAUUGUCUUUUUAAUUGAACCACUAGCAAGGGACCAAAAGUAAAUCAAAAUUAAUGCUAAGGUAAACCAUAGCAAGGGAGGAAUUAUGUAUUUAUAAUUAAAAUUAUUCUUUAUGUAUUGCGCUAUUUAAAUUUUGUCACACUACAAUGUAAUUACAUUUAGUCUGUGAGUGCUACAAAUCUCUUUGAUUUUGGGCCUUGUAAACAUUUAUCUAUGAUUUCGGGCCCAAAAAAAAAGCAUACAUUUAGUUCUAACGAAUUGGUGGUAAUUCCUCCCAAGUUUCGCAGGUAGCAUUCCGGAAGAGAUAGGCAAUCUCCAGAGCUUGAGGGCCUUGUCCAUAGAAAGCAGCAAUUUGAGUGGAUCAAUACCCAGGGAAAUUGGAAACCUAACUAUGCUUGAAGAAGUACAUUUUUCUUACAACAGACUGACAGGUAACAAAGUGGCGAGUAAUCCAAAACUAUUUUAGUAGGAAAAUUUGCCUUAAUUUUAACUUGGAGGGGCAAACUGACAUGAAAUUAAUGAACUUCAAGUUGCCAAAAAUCCUCUUUUUUAAAUUUUUUUUGAAUUUUGUCAAUUUUAGAUAUACAAUUUUUAUCGGUGGAAUUAUAUAACAUGUUCCUGAAUUUGGAAGUUUAUAUCUACAGAUAAACUUUUUCGAAAAAUUCCCCACUUUAAAUUUUUUACGUAGGGAUCAACAAACUCAAUGGGCAAAUACUAUGCUUAAGAAGCUGUAUCUAGAUGAUAGGUAUAUAUGUUAAUUUUCAAUGAAUUGUAAUCCUGAAUUUGGUGCAACUUUUGGAGUAUAUUUAAAUGAGAUUGGUUUUUGUUUAUGGAUCGACAGGUCCGAUUCCAAAUGAGAUUGGCAACUUGCUCAAAUUGGAGAGCCUUAACUUGGAUGAGAAUAGCUUAAGUGGUUCGAUACCAGUUGGGAUCUUCAACAUCUCAACUUUGAGGGAACUCUACCUUUCUUACAAUCAUUUAUCUGGCGUUCUUCCAUCAAAUAUGUGCCAUGGCCUACACAAUUUGGAAGCUAUUCUUCUUGGUGGGAAUAACUUCAGCGGAGCCAUACCCGCCUCUAUCUCAAACUGUUCGAAACUAAUUGGAAUAUCUCUUGGUGAUAACAAAUUCAGCGGUCCAAUUCCCAAUUCCAUUGGAAAUUUGAGACGCCUCGUAGUUCUAUAUCUGUGUGCUAACAAUUUGACGAGUGAAUCUCCGUCCCCAGAAUUGGGCCUCUUCACUUCCCUCACAGGUUGCAUCUCUUUAAUGGAUAUCGAUGUAGGAGACAAUCCGUUGAAUGGGGUUCUUCCGAGAUCCAUCGGGAAUCUUUCUAUUUCUGUUGUAGAUUUGGAUGUAGGGAACUGUGGACUUAAGGGGAACAUUCCAGACAGCAUUGGAAACUUGAGCAAUUUAGCAAGUUUAGGUCUCGAUGACAAUAGUUGGACUGGAUCAGUUCCCAAUACAAUAUGGGGUUUGCAAAAGCUUUGGAUUUUGGAUCUUAGCAAUAUUUCCCUCACUGGUCCGCUCCCUCGUGGUCUCUGUGGUUUGCAGAGUUUGGAGUAUUUAGGCCUAAGUCAAAAUCAGAUUAGCGGUUCAAUUCCAGAAUGUUUCAAUAAUCUUACAUCUUUGAAAUAUCAUAACAUAGCUUUCAAUAGAUUAACCUCUACUCUGCCAUUGAGCUUGUGGGAUCUUAAAGGUCUCAAGGAGCUCAACUUGUCGUCGAAUUUAUUGAGAGGGCCCUUGGCUCCAGAGAUGGGAGGAUUAAAGAAUUUGACAAGGUUAGAUUUGUCAAACAAUCAGUUUUCAGGCAAAAUUCCCAGCACCAUUUGGAGUUUAGAGAGUUUGGACCACCUUUCUUUAGCAAACAACAGCUUGCAAGGAUCAAUUCCGGACAACCUUUGAAUUGGUACCUUUGAAUUUGGGGCUAGAAAACUGGCCCAUUACAGAGUAAGUUCUCUUGUUGGAUCCCCAAUAUAAUUUUUUUUGAAAAGGAAAAACUUUUCAUUGCAAAUCAGCAAUAGCGGCCUCAGUAACCGGCAUGGUAAAGUUUACAAACCAGACCCUACGUCCCUUGAAAGAUAACGAUAACUUAGAGAUGAUAUGAGCUGGGACAUUAUUGGUCCUCCUCACAUGGCUAACCUUAACAAAAUCAAAAGAAUGCAGCAUAGUCCUGAUGCCAUGGAUUAAAUGGCCAAUCAAAGACAAAUCAGGUUCCUUGCUAUUAAUCUUUUGAACAAUAUUUAAUGCAUCACCUUCGAGCAAGAAGUGCGAGAUACCAAAAUCUCUUGCAAACUCCAAAGCAUAAAGAAAAGCCAAGCAUUCCACAUGCUCUGCAUUGUGAACUCCUUCUACCCUUGCAGCCAUUGCAGCCUCCACUUGGCCCAAGUAAUUCCUCACCACUAAACCAACACCAGCUGCUUGUUCGGAAAAAGCUCCAUCAACAUUAAUUUUCAGAUAGCUCUGUUCUGGUGCUACCCAUUUGGUAUGCUCCUUAUAUUGCCGUGAUCCUUGUCUCCUUAGCAGGUUCCAAUACUCUUGCAAGAAUGCCUUAGCAUACACGCCCACCUGUGCUGCACGCUCCGUCUUGCCCGCGAAUAAUGACUGGUUCCUACUUUUCCACAGCAACCACAUCGUCACCACCGUGAGCUCUGUUAACUCAUUUCCUUCAAAUUUCAUAAAACAGUCUAUCCAGUCCUUAAAAUUUGAUGCAGCAGGCUUGUAAAUUGCUUUCAGCAUCCCCAUACUCGCCUACACCUCCCUAGCAAAAUCACAUCAAAAAAUAUGUGCUUAUCAGUCUCCUGAACACAACCACACCAGGUGCAUCCCAUUACUUCGCUCUUAAGCCUACUCGAUAAAUUCUGCCCCGUAGGUAAGAUACCAGAGCAUGCGCCGCCAAACAAAAAUUCUGACCUUUGGACGAACAUGCAGAUUCCAGAUUUUGGACCAAAAGGACUUCUCCUUACUACCUGAUGGCGCCUCCUCCCCACCUUUGUCCAACCUCUGCAGGGUUCUUGCCAAAUAGUACGCGGACCGAACAUCAAACAUCCCAUUUUUAUUGUGGAACCAUACAAGCUCAUCCUCCGCCCUCCACGGUGUACGAGGAAUUUUUCGAAUAAUUUGUACCUCGUAACUCAAGAAUAGAAAAUGAAGCAAAUCCAACCUCCAGUCACCAGAAUGGGGAUCAAUUAAAUCAGCUACUCUAGCAUCUGGCCACAGAGUCCUCGAGCAUUGUGACACCCGGAAGGAUGGAGGACAGGGUAGCCAAGGGUCAUCCCAGACUCGUAUGUGUGAACCAUCACCAACUCGCCACACGACCCCUCUUUGUAGUAAGCUUCUUCCUACUAGUAAACUCCUCCAUAGGUAGGACGGAUUGCUCCCUAAUUUGCCGUUCCAAAAAUCACUCCUGGCGUAAUACUUGGGCUUCAAAACUUUGGCUGCCAGAGAAUCAGGAUUUUUAACUAUCCUCCAUCCUUGUUUUGCUAAUAAAGCGAGAUUAAAGGCCUCCAAAUCUCUAAAACCCAACCCUCCUCCUGUUUUCAUCUUACACAAGCGAUCCCAUUUCAUCCAGCACAUCUUCUUUUCGUUACCUUUCUGCCCCCACCAAAAAUUUCUAACUAGAGACUUGAUGUCAUCGCAUAAAGCUUUUGGGAGCUUGAAGCAAGACAUCACAUAAGUGGAUCCCCAAUAUACUUAAAUGUUCACUUUUAAGGAAUUAAGCGGUGACUUGUGUAUUCUUGCUCCGUAAUAAAUUAAGACUUGUGUAGAUUUUCUUGGUUCCAAUAUGCACCAUACCCGGCUAUUCCAAACAAUAAAAUCAAGCACAAUAAAGGUGCGUAUGCAUGUAUUUAUUGUGCCAGAACUAUUCUGAAUUUUUUUUAAUAAAAAAUUCAAUUAGGAAGUGAAAGUUUCUCCUAACUAACAAAAGAUAUAAAGAAAAUAAAUGUUUAAAGUUGCCAUGUUAUAUGAUGGUCAUCAUUUUUUAUUUUUUGUGAAUUCAAAAAAAUGUGGCCUCUUGGAAGGCACAUUUUCUUUUACGGGUGAAAAUUUUGGAAUUUUUUUCUUUAAAAAAUGCAGUACACUUUUUCUUUGUCAGUACCAUCACUCUCACAUCAAAUUUGGAAAACUACAGUCGAAAGGCUUUUGGUAUCAUAAUUGAAGACUAAAGGGGUUUUGUUAUUUUCUUGUUGCUUUGGUGAAAAUAAUAUAGAAGACGCGUCUUCAUUUUGGUACCAAGGAAAAGCGUCUGGUGAAACAGAUAUUUGCAGCAAAUGAUUGACACCGCUUCACUUGUUCUUCCCGCUUGAAUAAAAAGUGGAAAAAUAGUAAGUGAGCCAUCAACAUUUGUUUUUGGUCCUUUUAACAUUAUUUUGUCUAGGACUUUUUGCGUCUUUCUUAAAGGCUCGGAGGUGGCAAAGGUGAAGUACAUCUAUACAACAUUAAUAUCAGUUGAGACUUAUAUGGUACAAAAAUAAAAUCUAUAUACAUCGGUUAAAACCAAUAUCAAUACCGCCGUGAUUAAUGAGUUACUUCUAAAUACAUGAAUCAUGCCAUAAGACCUGUGCAAUACUCUAGUCUAGCUGGGUGGCCCCAAUAAUUUCUUGAUAAUGGGAAUGGAAAAUUGGACCUCAUGUAAUUGAAGCACUCUUUGUUUGGUCAUUACCAAUUGAGUAACCCCUUGAGAGUUGUCAAGGACAAACUUCAUUACUACAUCCAACAAUUUAGGCAUUUUUUUUUCUUUUACAAACUCCAUGUAAUUGACCUGUUUUUUUCCGGGUUUAUCGGGUCUGACCCGAUUUCUCAAAAUCUAAAUCCAAAUCUAUUAAUUUUGUGUUAACUUCGUAUCGUAAUUUUAGAUCGUAUCGAAAAUUAUUACCCUAAGUGAGAGCAGAGAAACUUAUGUCUUAGACCCAAACUUAUUUGUUUUGCUGGAUCAAAGCAAGAUUUCGUCUCAAAACAACACCCAGGACGACAAAUAAUUUGUCAUCUGGUCUUAGUAUGUAAAUACAGCCCAGGCCCAACAGCAUGACAUUUGUACUGAUAACAAAGACAUCACUUGUAACCGUUAGGCUGUUGAUUCGACUCUGAGACCCUUCCCUUUCUUCUUCUUCUUCUUCUUCUUCUUUUUUUUUUUUUUUUUUUUUUUUUUUUGUCUUUGUGUUCCGUUAUAAGGUUUGAAGUUUUAUAUGACGCAUACAAACUAAAAGAUAAUUCAUAUCAAAAUUUUUAAAAAAUUUUGUAUUUGAAUAGAUCACUGGCAUACCUUAUUUUUAAAUUUGUAUUUUUAUGGGUGAAGUCAUAUAACCUUCAAGCCUUCUGUCUAAAUUAAUAUUUCUAUCUACCAAUUUUCAUUUCGAGUUGACUAAAGUCAACCAUGGACAGAAUUCAACCUUAAUUGCUACGGCCCUAGAAAACUAGUGUUUUAGAGGGAAAAUUUUAUGGUACAUAAACGGCAUCCUGAUUGAAAUACAUAUAGGGAAAAAAAAAACUUUUAGCUAGAAAAUGUUUAUAACACAUAAAUGGCCUCGUGGUUGAAGUCACCUUCAUCUUCCAGCUUAGUCAAAGCAAGAACUGGAGAGAACAAGCAAUUACUUUCUUGUUGGAAUUCUUUUAGCCACUUUUCUAGCAGUCAUUGCCACAGCCAAUAAUGCAAUUGAUCAAUCUGCCCUUCUUCCCUUGAAGGAUCACAUAAUUUCUAACCCUUACUUAAUCUUGAAAAAAAAUUAGUCCAUUUCUUCCUCUGUUUGUGAUUGGGUUGGAGUCACCUGUGACCCUAAUUAUCAAAGAGCAUUGGCCUUAAAUAUUUCUAACAAGGGUUUUACGGGCACGAUUCCUUCAAAAUUAGAAAACCUCUCAUUUCUUGUUUCUCUUGAUACCAGGAGAAAUGUCUCAUUUUCAUGGCCAUUUGCCAAAAGAAAUGUCUCAUUUUGCGUCAACUAGGUUUUAUGGCUUUAAGCAACCAUAAUAUUUCACAGGAGAAAUUGCAUCGUGGUUUGGUUUCUUGGGUGAACUUCAGCAUCUGUCCAUAAGAAACAACUCUCUCACCUCCUCCUCUUUUUAAUUUAUCAAAGCUUGAAAUUUUGGCUUUAUCUUAUAACUCCAUUAGUGGGAAGAUUCCUAAAGAAAUUUUUAAUCUUUGUAAACUCAAGUACCAUUUAACCGUCUUGCCAUCCACAAUCUUCCGAAUCUCCAAUUUGGAAUUUAUUAAUCUUUUAGGGAACCAGUUAUCUGGUAACCUUCCUGUAUGCUGCUAUCCCAAAAGUCUCGUACAGCUUCAUCUAUCAUAUAAGUAUAUAACCAAUUAAAUAGUCAAAUCCUUUCAGGUUUAUCACAAGGCUCAGGACUCGAGGUAUCAUCUUUGUCAUUCAACCGGUUCAACGGGCACAACCAAAAGAAGUUGGGACCUUUUUCUGAGUAAUAACCAACUAUUUGGGCAAAUCAAGGCAAACUUGUGCAGAUGCUCAUCACUCCGCAUCUUGUCAUUGGAGGAUAACAAUUUGGGUGGAUCAGUACCAAGGGAGAUUGGAAAUUUAACUGCGCUUCAAUAACAAUGGCCUUACAGGUACCUCAGUCAUGACAAUGCUCUUAAUAUACUUCAGUGCAACAAAUUGGUCAGAACUUCCUAAAUUUCAGCCAUUUUAUAGUUCUGUAGAAUUUGUUAACAAAAUAUGCUUGAACAAAUAUUAUUGAAUGGAUGGUUUUAUCAUUUUUUGUUGGUUCAACUAGUGAAUGAUUAAUCCAAAAUUAUUUAAAUGGGAAAAUUUGCCUUUUAUAAAUUGGAAUGGACAAACUGCAGAAAAAUGAGCUUCAAUGGGGCUUUUUUUUUUGGGGGAUCUUUCAGUCUUUGUACAUUCUAUCCAAUUUUGAAUUUGCAGGUGAAAGACCGAAAGAGAUUGGUAAUCUCCAAAGCCUUGAAUCAUUAUUCAUGGCAAAUAACAUGCUUUUGGGAUCCAUGUCGAUGGAAAUAUAUAACAUGUCCGAGUUACGAGAAAUUGGCUUUGGUAAUAACAGCCUGUCUGGAGCUCUUCCAAAAUGUAUAUGUGACCAGCUUCUUGAACUUGAAAGUUUAUAUCUACACAGAAACAAUUUGGACGGCCAACUGCCAGAAAACUGAUUCAAAUGUUCCACACUUGAAUCUCUGUACCUAGGGAACAAUAAAUUCAAUGGACAAAAAAUAUAUAUAUACACAGUAACACUCUUAAAAACACCCAAAACAAUGCUAGAAAAUAAUUUUAAAAAACCCAAAAAACAAAAAACACACCAACAUGCAAACACGCAUGUAGCCCUUCUCCCUAUAUUACCAUUUUUCACCCUAUCCCAAAUCUUCCUCUGCCACUUGCCACCACUUCUCCCUCCUCCCCUCUAACAGAUCCUACUAGUCUCUUAACCCUACCACUACUAGGAAGGGGAAUUAUUGGAGGAGGGUUGAGGAAAAAUGUGGAGUCUAAAGUGUAAUUGAAUUGAGUUGAGUCGAACUCGACUCUCCUAGCUAGAGCUCUUAAAAGUUGAGUUUGAACUUGAGUCCAAUUCAAUUUUAUGUUACUUGAGCUCGAGCUCGAUCUUGAUUCGUUUAGUUUAAUCAGGUUCAACCGAGCUCAUAUGAGCCUAAUCAAGCUUAAGUGUUAUAAAUUAAUAUUUAAUACAAUUUUUUUAAAAAAAAUAGACACUCCAAACUACAUAUAUUUAUUAAUUUUUGAAACUCGAUUGAGAUCGAUUAAACUUGAUGAGCUAUCGAUCCUCGUAUAUAAGACUCUUCAUAUAUAAGGCUCAAACUCGAGCCCGUUAAUAUAUUUAAGUUGUCUGAACUCAACUCAAGCUCAAGGCUCAGUUAAUGCGAGUUCAAGUUUUUAUUUUGACCAAAUAAACUCAUACGAACAAGUAAAUUUUUGGUCAACAUUUUGCAGAAUUGUAUGUUUAAUAUGAUUAAGCGAUUGCAUGAGAACUGAAAUUCUCGACUUGUGGUUUUGCAGUCAUCACUUUUUGUAAAAUGGAAACAGAAGCUUCCUGUUUUCAUCAUUGUAUUCUACACUCUUUGUAGUGUUCAUUUAUUUCUUGAAGUCAAUGGGGCCCAAUUUUGACCAAUUUAUUUGCAGCUAUUGGUGGUUGAUGGUAGUGAAACUUAUGUCCUAGACAGCUGGUGUCCAGUGCCCGCAAGGGUCCGAGUCCCGUGAUUAUCAUGUUCGGGGGAUGAGGCCUCUCCUCCUGGAUCGGAGUGGGAUUAGUCGGGCCCGUCCGGAUUGACCCGGACACCCACUCCGUCAACAAAAAAAAAAAACUACUUGUACAAUACCAAGUUAUAGGCUAAUAGCCUAAAAUAUCACUAUUCAACUUGGCUAUCAAACCACAUCAUUGCAGCCAUAAAUAUGCCGGAGAGCCUGCAAACAACAAUCAAUGAAUACAUUUUCAGUUCUUGCCUUCUCCCCAAAUUAAUUUUUAUACCUACCAAUUUUCAUUUCGAGUUGACUAAAGUCAACCAUUGCUAGAUGAUGAGGUUUAAAUACCAAGGGGAUUGGAAAUUUAAUCUAUGCUUAAUAAGCUGCAUCUAGAUGAUAGCUAAUUUGACAGGUAUGCUAAUUUUCAAUUAAGUGUAGUCUUGAAUGUGGUGUAACUUUUGGAGUAUAUUUAAAUGAGAUUGGCUAGCAAGUACAUUAUUAAUUUUUUUUUUAAUAUUCUUGUAAUUUAACAUUUAUUACAAUUAAGGAAUCAUAAUCAAAGGAAAAAGGAAAGGCAACCUUUUUCCAUCUUACAUAAUAGUGAAGCUAUUUAUGGUGCCACGACACUUUGUAAUUUACCAAUUUCUGUACUCGUUUCUAUGUUUUGUGACACUGAAUUCUCCUAUCAAGAGCUUCUUCCACUAAUAUGAAGUAGUUUUAACGAAGUUUUCUAUUUAAGUGUAAUUGGCAUGGACUCACUUUAUGUAGUUUUGUCAAGGGUUGCACGAGAAUUUGAAAAAAAAAAAUUAACCGCAUUUCUAUGAAAGUCAUGCACGUAAUGGGUAUGAAUUUUGAGGAAAAUUAAUUCUAAUUAAUGAAAUCACAUUGGUUCUCGUAAAGCUGAUAAAGUUUCAACAGAUGGAAAUGUACUUGUCGUCUAAAGCUUGGCAAAGCUAAUCAAAGAGGAGCCAGAAAAUAUCUUUAAAGUAGCCUUGCUUAGGUAUCAGAAAUUACACUUACUCUCUUGGCGACACAAUACUAUAACAAUCUUGAAAAGAAUACUAAUACCCAAAUUUGCAAAAACCUAAAAGCCAAAACAAAAGAGAGAAAAUAAUAAUUAAGAUCAAUGAUGAUUGAAAUAAAAUUUUAAAACCAUUUAAGUUUAUUUUUGCUAAAUUCGAGCACAAUUUGAGAUGAUGUCAUCAUUUGGGCUUAUUUUGUCUAAAAAUACGAAUUUCAAAUUUGAGGAACGUAUAUGAAAUUAUGCUAAAUCUUUGGGAGAGAUGUAAGGAGUUAGCCCUAAAAUGUGAGUGCAGUUGUUAUUGCAAAUUUCCAUCAAAGUUCAAAAAGAACCACACUUCUUUUUGACUGAUUUAGUGUUUUCAGUUAGCAAGAGUAUAUCUGUUGUACUAGUACAUAAAUCACAUGGUGGAACUGGAACUUAAGAGAACUGAUGGUUUUGAAUAAAACCAUUAGUUUGUUCAUAACAUCUAACGGUGGUUCCUUUCACCUUUGGUGGUUCCAUUACGUGAUGUACACUUCGUAUUUUGAAUGGUAAAAUAAGCCAAAUUUUUCUAUUGUUUAAGUCGUCAUCAAAGUUGAAUCUUAAGUUUCUACCACUCAUAUAUAACAUCAACUAAUCAAUAAAAAUCUGUAGUUUCCACAAGUCUUUACCAAAAUUUCCAUGUCAACUGACAUGUCAAACUCAGAGAAGAUCAUUUUUUCCACAAUUAAGGAAUCCUAAUCAAAGGAAAAAAAGGGGAAGAGAGCCUUUUUCCACCUUGCAUUAAUUUUGGAAGACAUAGAUGUUAAAGUCUUACAUACCUUUCUUGAGGUUUAGCCUUGUUUAGGUAUCAAAAAAUUACACUUGCUCUCUUAGCAAGGCAAUUGCUAUGAUAACCUUGAAAAGAAUACUUAUGCCCAAAUUUGCAAAAAUCAAAAAGCAAAACAAAAACAGAAGAUCGAGAACAUAAUAUGAUGAUUGAAAUAAUUUGUUUAAAACCACAUGAGGGUAUUGCAAAUUAGAGUACAAUUUGAUGAUGUCAUCAUUAAUUUUGGGUUUGUUUUGUUUAAAAAUGCAAAUUUCAAUAUCCGAGAAAUUUUCAUCAAACUAUGCUAAAUCUUGGAGGAGAUGUAAGGAAUUAUCCUGUAAAUGCAAGUGCAGAUGCUAUUGCAAAUUUCCAUCAAAAUUCAAUGUUUUAUGAAGCUAUGCUAAAUCUUUUUGACUGACUUGGUGACUUCUGUUGGCAAGACUAUAUCUAUUGUGCUAAUACAUAUGCUAUAGGGUAAAUUACAUAUAACUCUCUUGUGGUUUUGUCUAUUGCCACAUGAUUUCCUAACAUUUCAAAAUGUUCACUUCACCCCCAAUAAUUUUUUUGUCAUAAAGUGGAAACUUGACAAAAAAUAACCUAUGCAAUGCCAUUAAUUGAAAUAUCAAUAGCGCCCUUAUUUAAAUGCUAAAUCAAUUGCUGACUUAACUACCUUAUUUAAAAGUAUAGGAAAAUAAAAAUUACGUGGACAAAUGCAAAAAUCGUAGGGGGAUAACGUGGAUAUUUAUACAAACAAUAAAGAAGUUAUAUGGAGAUUAAAAUUUUAUCGCACACGCUUUUAGAGCAUGUUGGUAUAGAUAUCGUAACUAAUUGUGCAUAUAAAAUCAUAUAGGGGUUCUACAACUAUUUUGAAACCUUAGAGGGGUUAUUUGGCAUCACGUAAAAUCAGAGGGGGAUUACAAGUAAUUUACCCUAUAUUAGAUGGUGGGACUAAAACUUAAUAGAACUGAUGGAUUUGAUUAAAACCAUAAAGGUUGUUCAUAACAUCUAACAGUAAUUUUACCUUUGACGGUUCAAUAAUGUGAUAUGCAUUUCAACUUUUGAAGGGUGAAAUAAGCCAAGUCUUCUUAUUGUUUAAGUCGUCAUCAAAGUUGGAUAUUAAUUUUUUUUUUUUAGUUGGAUAUUACGAUUCUACCGCUCAUAUAACAUCAACUAAUCAAUAAAAAUCUGUAGUUUCCACGAGUCUUUGCCAAAAUUUCCACGUCAACUAGCAUGUCAAACCUAGAGAUGAUCUUCUUUUUUAUCCCACAAUUAAGGAAUCCUAAUCAAAGGAAAAAAAAAAGGGGAAGAGAGCCUUUUUCCACCUUGCAUUAAUUUUGGAAGACAUAGAUGUUAAAAUCUUUCAUAUUGUUUGAUCAAAUCAAUCUUUUUGUUUCCAUUCCAAUUAUGAGACAAGUCUAGGUUUUCAUCUUUCAUUUGUCUAAACUUUAUUUAUUUCUCUGGACCUUCCACUGACAUUUGAUAUUCUAAUCAAAUCUUUUCUUGGUUUCUAACAUUUUUCUUCAUGAUUUUUCCACACUUCCCCACCUUCAUUUCCGUUGUAGAAAGACAUACUUCCCAUUCAUUUUAUUUUGGAUUUUCAUCUUGUACGAAACCGUACUUAAAAUAGCAUUACACAAUAUGAUUAAUUACAUGGCCAAUUCUCUCCAACUUUAUACAUUCCAUCAAAAUAUUUUUCAUGCUUUUGUCUUCUUCUUUUUUUUGGUUUUUUAGCCCUAAGAACAUCUAUUUUAGAGGGAUUGAAUUUGAAGUUCAUUCUCUUUUCUUUCUUUGUUUUGUUGUUAUCUAAUGAUAACCUUUUUUUUCCUCCUAUUCUCUUGUUUUUCUUUAAGAUUACGGAUAGGAGAAUGUUUUUUUAAGAUUAGAGAUGGGCAUUUCACUGCCCAAUUCUUGCUAGGCAUCAAACUAACAGGUUUAGAGUGUUGGGUUUCCUUACAGAGACGUGUGUUAGGUAAGGAAAAUUAUAUUUUAUUCAAUCUGAUUGUUGAAAUUGCAGCCGAUAUUUCACUUCUUUGCCCUCCAUUACUCGUGGAGCCAUUGGCGACUACUCAAGGCAACAUAUGUAAUUAAGAAUUCAAGAAAUUUAUCUAGGUUUCAUUUCAUGUAAUCAAUAUGAUUCAACUAUUGAACCAAAUCGGAUGUGUUGAUUUUUUUUCUUUUUUUUUAUUUCUUUUGGUCCGAAAGGUUCUUGUAAAGAUGAUUGGUUCCUCAUGUGUAAAGCUUUUUUUUUUUUUUUUUGAACAACCUCAUGUCUAAAGCUUGACCAGAGAUUUUAAUUACAGGUGCAUACAUUGUUGCAAGUUGCAACUGUCCAUAAAGUUAGAAUCUUGGGGUGGGAUGACUGUAAAACCAAUAUAAUAGUGCCCGAAGAGACACUAAAACAAUGUUUAUUCUAUGCAUAAAGCUUGAGCCUAUUUAUGGUGCUAAUUUUGUGCAGACACUAAAACAUUAUGCCAGAAGAGACGCUAAAACAAUCUUUAUUUUUUGCGGUACUGCCAAAAUUUUGUAAUUCACCAAUUUUUGUACUCGUUUGUAAGUUUUGUGACACUGAAUUCUUCUGCCAACAACUUCUUCCACUGAUAUAAAUUAGUUUUAAUGAAGUUUCCAAUUUAAGUAUAAUUGACUUGGUCUCGCUUUAUGCAGUUUUGUCAAGGGUCACACGAGAAUUUAAAAAAAGAAAAAACCGCGUUUUUAUGAGAGUCAUGCAAGCACUAGGGUAUGAAUUUUGAGGAAAAUUAAUUCUAAUUAGAGAAAUCAUAGUGGUUUUUGUAAAGGUGAUAAAUUUUCAACACAUGGAAACAUAUUCAUCGUCUAAAGCUUCAGCAAAGCAAAUUAAGGAGGAACCAGAAAAUAUCCUUAAAGUGGUUUAAAUUCAGGAAUAACUUUACAUACCUCCCUUGAGGUUUAGCCUUGUUUAGGCAUCUAAAAAAUUACACUUACUCUCUUGGCGAGACAGAUGCUAUGAUAACCAUGAAAAGAAUACUUAUGCCUGAAUUUGCAAAAAUCAAAAAACAAAAAAAAAAAAAGCAAGGAAACAAUAAUUAAGAUCAAUGAUGAUUGAAAUAUUUUUUUUUAAAACCACAUAUGGGUAUUGCAAAGUAAGAGUACAAUCUGAUGAUGUCAUCGUUAAUUUUGGGUUUGUUUUGUUUAAAAAAGCAAAUUUCAAUAUCUGAGGAAUGUUUAUGAAACUCUACUAAAUCAUGGGAGAAAUGUAAGGAAUCGUCCUUUAAAUGCAAGUGCAGAUGUUAUUGAAAAUUUCCAUCAAAGUUCAAUGUUUAUGAAGCUAUGCUAAAUCUUUUUAACUUAGUGACUUCUUGGCAAGACUAUAUCUAUUGUGCUAAUACAUAUGUUAUAGGAUAAAUUACAUAUAACAAUCUUGAAGCUUCUCUAUUGCCACAUUAUCUUCUGAACAUUUUAAAAUAUCCACUUCACCCGCUCUGAUUUUAUUGAAAGUGAAAAUUUGACAGAAAAUAAUCUUAAUGCCAUUAACUGAAAUACCAAUAGUGCCCUUACUUAAAUGCUAAAUCAAUUGACAGUUUAACUACUUUGUAUAAAAGUAUAGGAGGAUUGCGUGAAUAAAUGCAAAAGUCAUAGGGGAAUAAAGUGAAAAUUUAUACAAACCAUGAGGAGGUUACAUAAAAAUUAAGAUUUUAUUGCACGUGCUUUUGAGCAUUGUUUGGUAUAAACACCGUAACUGAUUAUGCAUUCUGUCCAUCUUUCACUUUACAUAAAACCAUAGAGAGAUUAUGUGACUAUUUGAAAAUCGCUAGGGGGUUAUUUGGGAUUAUGUAAAGUCACAGGGGAUUGUAGGUAAUUUAUCCUAUAUUAUAUUGUGGGACUAAAACUUAAUAGAACUGAUGAAUUUGAAUAAAAACCAUAAAGUUGGUUCAUAACAUCUAACGGUAGUUCCACAUUUGCCAAGUCUUCCUAUUGUUUAAGUCGUAAUCAAAGUUAAAUAUUAAAUUUUUUUCUAGUUGGAUAUUAAGUUUCUAUCACUCAUAUAACAUCAACCAAUCAAUAAAAAUCUGCAGUUUUCACAAGUCUUUGCCAACAUUUCCACGUCAAUUGGCGUGCCAAAUAUGGAGAUGGUUUUUUUUCCACAAUUAAGGAAUCCUAAUCAAAGGAUAAAAAGGAGAGACAACUUUUUUCCACCAUGCAUUUAUUUUGAAAGACAUAGAUGUUAAAGUCUUUCAUAUUGUUUGAUAAAAUCAAUCUUUUUGUUUUCAUUCUUCUUGUGUGACAAGUCUAACUUUUCAUCUUUCAUUUGUUUAAACCUUAUUUAUUUCUCUAAAACUUCUACUCAUAUUUGGUUUUUUUCUAAUCAACUCUUUCAUUGUUUUCUAACAUUUUUCUUCUUGAUUUUUCCAUGACUUUUCCCAUUCAUUUGCAUUGUAGAAAUAUAUACUUACGUUCCAUUUUAAUUGGAUUUUCAUCUUGUAAGAAAGUAUACUUAAAUUUGUAUCACAAAGUUAUUAAUAGCAUGAUCAAUCCUAUCGAAGAGGAUAUGUUAGCAAUAAAGUAUUUGGAUAUGCUUGGGCCAUUUAAAAUUGGCUAAAACCUGGUUGCUGAUAUGAAGAGUCAAACGAAACUAGUUUUCAUUUAGUUUAAGUCGUGAUCAAAAUUGGAUAUUAAAUUUCUGUCACAUUAACUUAUUAAUAAGAAUGUUUUAGUUUCCACAAGUCUUUGCCAAAAUUUCCACGUCAACAGGCGUGUCAAAUAUGGAGAACCAAUAGGAGUCAUCUGUGGUAGGAAGGUAGUGAUGUUCCUUCCUACCGUAGCACAUCAUGAAAGCAUUCUCGGUGAGAACUGAGAAGUCAAGCCCACGCCUAAAUUCCCACGGCGAAGAAGAAAUAUUUGAUGUGAUUUGUGGCAGGCCCCAUUGAUAAAUGAAUUUCAUAUAAAAUUUGUAUUGUUAAUGUAAACAAAACAAAUUUUCACAGUAUAAUUUUUACAUUAGUAGUUAUAAUGCUUAAGGCUGAUUGUGUUGAAAAGUAAAAAAUAAAAGUAAAAUGAAUAGUUUUUUUGACAAUUUGUAUUUACGUAGUUUAAUUAAAAGUGCCUAAAUACACGGGUAAAAUUUGAUGGAUUAAAAAUAACUUAAAAAAUGAACUUCUUGGUCGAAAUAUUUAAGAAUUGUAUAUUUGGAAUGAAUGGAUGUUUCGCAUGAUAGAGAAAAAUACAAACUUUUGGCGGGCUUGCCACUGUUAGUGCCAUAAAUCAAAGUUAAUCUCUCUAUUCUUACUAGGAAAAUUCAGUCGUAGGAAAAUUCGUCAGCACGCGUUCCCACUGUGGGUUGUGGAGAUGGUCUGUCUUUCCCUCCACACAAUGUCAUUGUUAGAUAGAAUCCAUUUCAUAAUCAUAAAUGCUAUAGUAGUUGACAGCAUUUGAUCUUGAGAUACAUAUAUGGCAUCUCAAUGGAAGUAUAUAUAUAUACUUACUUCCCCAUAAUAGUAGUAUAUGCACACUUACUUCCCCAUCGUCAGCUCUAUUUGUAAGCUUAGUCAAAAGAAAUGGAGAGAGCAUGCUAUUACUUUCCUGUAGGACUUUUAUUAGCCACUUCUCUGUUAGCCGUGGGCACAGCCGAUAUCAUAAAUGAUAAAUCUGCCCUUGUAGCUUUCAAAAAUCACAUAGUUUCUGAUCCUCACUUAAUCGUGGCAAAAAAUUGGUCCAUUUCUUCCUCUGUCUGCGAUUGGAUCGGAGUUACAUGUGAUUCUAGUCGUCAAAGAGUGAUGGCCUUAAAUAUUUCUAACAUGGGUUUUGCAGGCACUAUUCCUCCACAACUGGGAAACCUCUCAUUCCUUGUUUCUCUCGACAUGAGCAACAACAAUUUUCAUGGUCAUUUGCCAGAAGGGAUGUCUCAUUUGCGUCAACUAAGUUUCAUGGCUCUAAGCAACAACAAUCUCACGGGAGAAAUUCCAUCAUGGUUAGGUGUCUUGGAUAGGCUUCAAUACCUAUCCUUGAGAAAGAAUAAUUUUUUUGGUGAUCUUCCUGCUAACAUAUGCGACAAUCUUCCAAAUCUAAAAGAGCUCGAUCUGUCUGUGAAUGAAAUGAGUGGCCAGAUACUAUCAGGUUUAUCAAACUGCUCCGGACUCAAGUCGUUAGAUUUGUCAUUCAACCAGUUCAAUGGUUACAUACCAAAAGUGGUGGGGAACUUGAAAAUGCUUGAGGAACUACAUCUCGGCGAUAACAACUUGAAAGGUUACUUUCUUUUUUUCUUAUUCUUUAUUCAGUUCCAUAUUUACAUUUUCUCACUGUACAAGUAUCUUAAUUUCUUGUGCUACAAUCUCUUGAUCUUUGGCCCUUUAAACAUUUAUUUCAAAUUAAAGAGAUUUAGGUGAUCCCCUAAAAUGAAAUUCUGAAUCUACCCACGAAAGCAGCAACACGGUUCUAUGCCACCCACAAUCUUCAAAAUCUCCACAUUGGAAUUUGUUGAUUUUGCAGAAUAAAAAUUAUCUGGUAAUAUUCCUACUGAUAUAUGCCACAGUGUUCCAAAUGUAAAAGAGCUCUAUCGCCUUUGGAAUCAGUCGAAUGGUCAACAAAAUGCUCUGGACUUUGGGGUAUUGUGUUUUGUCAUUCAACCAGUUGGACGGAUACAUACCAAAAAGAAGUUGGAUAUUUGAAAAUGCUUCAGUAUCUAUAUCUUGGCAUUAGGCUUAUUGUAUUAGAAGGGUAUAAUUGUCUUUUUAAUUGAACCACUAGCAAGGGACCAAAAGUAAAUGAAAAUUAGUGCUAAGGUCAACCAUAGCUGAUACCAAACAUCAGGGAGGAAUUAUGUAUUUAUAAUUAAAAUUAUUCUCUAUGUAUUGCGCUAUUUAAAUUUUGUCACGGUACAAUCUCAAUUCUUGUGCUACAAAUCUCUUUGAUUUUGGGCAGUUUAUAUCUAUAGAUAAACUUUUUCGAAAAAUUCUUUACGUAGGGAUCAACAAACUCAACGGGCAAAUACUAAGGGGGGAUUGGAAAUUUGUUAAUCUACUAUGCUUAAGAAGCUGUAUCUAGAUGAUAGCUAAUUUGACAGGUAUAUAUGUUAGUUUUCAACGAGUUGUAAUCCUGAAUUUGGUGCAACUUUUGGAGUAUUUUUAAAUGCGAUUGGUUUUUGUUCAUGGAUCCACAGGUCCCAUUCCAAACGAGAUUGGCAACUUGCUCAAAUUGGAGAUCCUUGACUUGGGAUGGAAUAGCUUAAGUGGUUCGAUACCAGUUUGGAUCUUCAACAUGUCAACUCUGAGGAUGCUCGACCUUUUUGGCAAUCAUUUAUCAGGCGUUCUUCCAUCAAAUAUGUGCCAUGGCCUGCACAAUUUGGAAGAUAUUCAUCUUGGUAGGAAUAACUUCAGCGGAGCCAUACCCGCCUCUAUUUCAAACUGUUCGAAACUAACUGGAAUAUUUCUUGGUGGUAACAAAUUCAGCGGUCCAAUUCCCAAUUCCAUUGGAAAUUUGAGACGCCUCGAAUUUCUCUCUCUGAUUGCUAACAAUUUGACGAGUGAAUCUUCAUCCCCAGAAUUGGGCCUCUUCACUUCCCUCACAGGUUGCAUCUCUUUAAGGUAUAUCAGUGUGGGAGACAAUCCGUUAAAUGGGGUUCUUCCGAGAUCCAUCGGGAAUCUUUCUAUUUCUGUUGAACUGUUGGAUGUAGGGAACAGUGGACUCAGGGGGAACAUUCCAGACAGCAUUGGAAACUUGAGCAAUUUAAUUUUUUUGGGUCUAGGUGACAAUAGCUGGACUGGAUCAGUUCCGACUGCGAUAUGGGGUUUGCAAAAGCUUCGGUAUUUGGAUCUUAGCAAUAUUUCCCUCACUGGUCCGCUCUCUCGUGGUCUCUGUGGAUUGCAGAGUUUGGAGGAUUUAGGCCUAAGUCAAAAUCAGAUUAGCGGGUCAAUUCCAGGAUGUUUCAAUAACCUUACAUCUUUGAGGUAUCUUGACAUAGCUUUCAAUAGAUUAACCUCUACUCUGCCGAUGAGCUUGUGGGAUCUCAAAGGUCUCCAGGAGGUCAACUUGUCGUCGAAUUUAUUGAGAGGACCCUUGGCUCCAGAGAUGGGAGAAUUAAAGAAUUUGACAAGGUUAGACUUGUCAAACAACCAGUUUUCAGGCAAAAUCCCCAGCACCAUUUGGAGUUUAGAGAGUUUGGACCGCCUUUCUUUAGCAAACAACAGCUUGCAAGGAUCAAUUCCGAACAACUUUUGAAUUGGUACCUUUGAAUUUGGGCCUAGAAAACUGGCCCAUUACAGAGUAACUUCUCUUGUUGGAUCCCCAAUAUACUUAAAUGUUCACUUUUAAGGGAUUAAGCGGUGACUUAUGUAUUCUUGCUCUGUAUUAAAUUAAGGCUUGUGUAGACUUUCUUGGUUCCAAUAUGCACCAUACCUGGCUUUUCCAAACAAUAAAAUCAAGCACAAUAAAGGUGCGUAUGCAUAUAUUUAUUGUGCCAGAACUAUUCUGAUUUUUUUUUUUUAUAAAAAAUUCAAUUAGGAAGUGAAAGUUUCUCUUAACUAACAAAAGAUAUAAAGAAAAUAAAUGUUAUUGUUACAAUGUUAGCCCAUGGAAAAAAA